GUGCAGCUGUCUGGGAGCCCAGGAAGUCACACCCGUCUCGCGCACUGAGCUGAAGCUCCAGCCCACGUGGCGAAUAGCGAACCCCCGGCGCUGAAGGGAGUGCCUAGCCGGGCCCCUCCUCCAAACCAGGGUACUUGGACUAGAUGGCAGUUCUGUGUUGCAUGGCGUAUUUGAGCAUGACAAGAUGCCAGUGAGGUGUGGAGAAGCAGAGGAAUGAAAAGUGUCCUGUGCAUCCAGAAGACACACUGCCUCUCACUUUUCAUAAUGCUGGAUGGAACUGUGUGGCUAAUACAUAUUCAUAAGUCCAAGGAGAAUGUCUUAGAUAAUGAACAAACAUCACAGGACUGCUUGCUGGGCGGCUCGGCUGGCUAAUGCUUCAGAAUUAGUAAUGUGGUAUUUACAGAAGUGAAAUAUUUGCUUCCCUUGGCACCUUCUCCUACAUGUAAAUUACUGGCCCGUUUUAAAUUUUUGUGUGUAUAUAACUUUAACUAUUUUUGGUAGUUAAAUAUGAUUCAGCAAUAUUUUAGUUUUAUAAGAUAUGAAUCUUGAAAAUUUUUAUUUUCUCAGAUGGAAAUCUUCACAUUGCAGAGAUAAUGACUUUGAAGUAGAUUUACUGCCCCCCCCCCCCCAAGGCCCCUUCUUAUAUCCAUGUAUUUACUUGUAUUCCCACCAAUAAGGAGCACUUACCCAUGGGAUGCUAAUACUUUUUAAAACAAAUGGUUCUAUUUUCAGGACUUCACAGGCAAUGAGGCAACCUAUCUGUUAAUUGAGGAGGAGCUGACACUAUUAAAUUUGGUUCUAUAUGGAAGUGAUGAAAUAGAAAAAGCAUUGCUUGUUCUUCUGAAGAAAUUUCUAUUUAUGAAUUAAGGAAGUCAACACUCUUUACUUAGGUGUGGGGCUUUGUAAAAUGGACCCCCAUAAUGCUGGGAUUUUAACUAGCAUGUAUCUGUGCAUGAGUGUAACAGUCAUGUUACCCCUAGAACACGACUUUUCAUGACACUCCUCACUGUUGUCAAACUCUCACACCUUUUCUGUCUCCUUCCUAUGAUGUUUCCUGCAUACUGAAGGAGGAAUGCCGAUACAGACAUUGAAUCCAUGAUUGAGCACUCUUCACCACUUAGUCUGCAACUCUUGGCCAAUUAUAAAUCGGUGUAUUGAUCACCACACACCUCAAAGAGAAUCUUCUCUUGCCGAGACCAAGAGCAACUUACCCUUUAAAACAGUUUAAUAAAAACUUUCAGUGACACAGGUUAAUUCAAGAAGAAAUUCCAUGGGAAUUUCAGAGAAAAGAUGGAAAAAUCCAAAAAAUCCAACUGAGAAGCUCAGUAAUGCUUAGGAUUCAAGCCAUAGCUAAUGGGUUUAAUAUCCCAGAAACUGUUUCCUGUAUAAUAAGGCAACAUUAUUCUUUUUCUUUCUUUCUUUGGCUUUUUUUUUUCCUUAUGAAAAUGGACUCUGGUUUAUUUGCUAUCGGGAGCACACAAAAGUCCUUUGAAUGGUCGGUCUGUUCCAUUCCUCUCCAUGUCCGCUUUCUCUCACAGGAGUCUUGCUUUUCCCCUUUCUGGCCCCACACAUACUUUCCUUAAAACAAACAUCCUUGUUUUAAAAGCAAAGAAGACUCUGCUCUCCAUUCUUGUUUGACUUCCCACACAUUGCUGUUAACGAUUCCCCAAACACAGAUGGAAGACAGGCUUGGACUCUUCCACUGUAAGCUAUUUCACAAGAUCUCUGCCCUUUAAAUAUUUUGAUUUGUUCUUCUGGAAAGAAACUUUCCCUGUCAGCUCCCCCCCCCCCCCACCUUCCCUGCUCCCCACGUGCUCACCACCACUAAGAAUUGGUUAUUUGUGAAUGUUACCAUUUUGUUAGUUUCAUCCUUUUAGCGAUACAAGGCUAAAAACAAACAGUAAUCUUGCAUUCAAGAUUACUAUGUGCAUCUAGGAUGCACCCAUGGAAAAGAAACAUUAUUACAUUAGUUAAUUAUCAUUCAUAAUUUUCUGUUUUACCAGUGAACUAAGAAAGGCAUGGUCAACAUUCUCAGUGGACUGGGGAAAUUUUGGACUGCACUUUGUCCUUAUUCCUGGAGUUUAAGACCACUGGCUUUUCAUGCCGUCAGAAGUGAUGUAGAUGUAGAGUGUUCCUUUUCAAAGGGAUGGGCUUCACCUUGUCACAACCACUAUUGCCAGCAUGAAAUAUUAUUAAAAAGCUGUUGAGCAUAAUUCGAAAAUAAUCUAAUGCGUUUACUUUGAAAAGGUUUAGUAUAGAACAAAAAGUAUAUGGUUCAGAGAUUACUCAGAAAUGCAAAUGCCUGAGAACUUGCCCUUGGAUCUGCUGUCAUGUCCUUAUCGCAACCAUGAUCUUAACUUUAUCUUAAACCAGAAUCAACUGUAUACUUCUUCUAAUGCCAAUAUUUAUUAUCUCGUGAUUUUUUCAGCAUUGCUACUUGCUUGAAAAACUUGAGGCACCUCUAAUUUAAGAACAUUCAUUGCACCAAAUUGCCUAAUCUGAGAGAAACACAUUUUUUUCUUUUCCUCCCUUCCUCACUCCCUUCCUUUCUUAAAAACACAUGCUUGGAAGUAAAAAUAUAUAUCUUUAAAAUUUCAAACAACUUUGAAGAUUUCAUGUUGAUACAUGAUGCAUACUGUCCUAUACCUUGAGAUUAGAACACAUCUAAGAAUAAAUUUAAACUGAUUUUAAUGUUUCUAUGCUUCUUGUAAUUUAUAGAUGAUAAAGUUCUGGCUAUGUAUAUAAUACAUAUUUCUCUCUCGAUAUUUAUAUGUAUGUGUGUCAAAGGAACAUAGAAAUAUUUCAUUAACAGUACCACUGAUACUGAGUAUACACACAUACACAUACACCAAACUUAAAAUCUAUAUCCCAAAAUAUUUCCUGUUAUAUAUUUUUUAAUUUUCUCCUUUAAACUUAUAUAUUAUACAGAUAAAUAUAUUUAUACAUUUUGAAUAUGUGUAUCAGAAACAUCAAUUAUAUAUUUAUGUUAUACUAGUAUCUGCAUAUCUAUAUUUAUAAACAGAAAGAUAAAAAUAUCAACAAAUGAGGUCUCACGAUAUAUGGAUUCUUACUCUUCUGUUCUUGACAAGUUUUAUAUGCGCAAACAUGUAUGUGUCCUUAGACAUACAUGUAGUCUACCUAAUACUGUCCUUUACCAAAUUUACUUGUGUUUUUUCUAGGCAUGAGGUAGCAUUGCAUCUCGUUUGAAGUUAGAUGAAGAGAUGUGGCUUACAUGGCCAGUGGAAUGUGAGCAGAUGUAGUGCAUUUCACACACAGGUGGAAGGUCCAAAAGCCACUGUUUAGCUUAUGUCAUUAUCUGCACUAUGGUGACUGUCAAGCAUGUAUUGGACUGACAUCUUUGUCAGGCUGGGUUUCUGAUUGGUUAGGAUACACAGACAUUUCUAAUACCCUGAAACAGGCACGAUUGGCAGGAAAUAAACUUUUGUUGUACAAAAUUGCUGCAAUAUGUGUGGUGGUGGUUAACCCAGCACGAAAAUACAACCCAGCUUGAGUGUUGGCAAACUUUUCCUGUAAAAGGCCAGAGAGUAGGCAUUUUGGCUUUUAUGGCCUACAUAUGGUCUCUAUAAUAUAUUUCCUCAGUCUUUUUUCUUCUCAUAACAAACAAAAUUCAAAAUACAUUCUUAGGGGUACAUACAGCCCAUAUGAAAGUGGACUACAGUCCAGGCUAACCCAGUGGGCUACAGUUUUCUAAUUGUCACCUAAUGACUUCUUGAGAUAAAGACAGGAAAGUGAGGGCCAGGAACCAGGCCCUUGGUUAAGAGCACUUGCUUACUUUGCAGACCCUAGUUUAGUUCAGAGCAUCCACAUCUGGCUACGUACAAAAGCUGUAAUGCCACCUCCAUGGGGUCCCACACCAUCGUCUGAAUGCCACAAGCACCUGCAUGUACAUAGAUAUGGCAACAUGCACAGAGGCACACACACACACACACACACACACACAUACUGAGACACAGCACGUAGAUAUAUACAUACAAAUAAAAAUAAAUAAAAAAUCAGAAAUGAGGAUGUACCUAUUUAGAAAAAAGAGGACAUACUUCUUGUUGCUGUCCAAACCACAGUUAACAUUUCAGUCCAAACAAUUUAUAACAGCAUAUUAAAAAAAAAAAAAACCUACGUAGAAAUUCUUCAUUGUCCAUUUCAUUUACUUUAGUUUUACAUAGAAUGUCAAAUUCAAAUGGAGCUCUGUGGUGAUAUAGCAUAAAGUUUCUCAAGGUAUUUCCUUGAGCAUGAAGAUGCUACACACAAACACACAGAUACAGGAUGGAGAGUUGCCUCAACAUAAAAAAUUACUCUACAUGCUACAUCCACAAGCUCAUUUUUAGCCUUAUGUCUGUCGAUAUGAAGUGGAAUGCCCACUCCUUGGAGCUCACUGAACUGCCUUCUUUGGUUUUGUCUUGUUAUUGAGGACCUAGAGUUUGAGUCAUUGCCAACACGGGAGAUCUGUGUCAACUUUUCAUGUUCUCCUAAGUAUCUGUUUGGCCUUAUGAUCUGGCUCUAGGUUUGUAAUAUAUCUGGACAGUUUGUUUGGUCAAUCAGGGCUGGCACUGCAUUUGUGAGUGAUGUCAAAUAACCUCUGAGAGCAUAACACUGUCAUAAUUAUCUUGGUGUCAUAAGAAGCACACCCUGGAGAUGGAAGGACUUCCUUGACUUUUUUCACCUUUCCAGAUCAAUUGUUUUAUAUGACUGAAAAGAAUUGGUAGUAGCAGUUUCUGGAAACUGUCAGGGUUUUAAAAGCAACAAACAGGGCUCAUCAUGGAACUUGUUACCUGUGAUGGACGCCCUGCUCCAGUGGACUGCUUCCCCUUCGUACACCAUCAUCAUCUUCCCAUGUUGAGCUUUCUAAACUCAACUUUGGAACUGUACAGUGAGAAUCAAGUGUUUUUCUGCUUAUAGUUACAUCUGAAGGUUGUAGCAAAAUCAAGAAAUGGUCCAUGGGACUACAACCCCAGUCCAUGGAAUGUGCCUCCCACACUCAGGGUGCCUUCCAUCCUAAAUUAAACCUUCCUGAAAACAUCCUUCUGGACACACUGAGGGGUGCAUACUCUUGAUAAUUUUAAUCCUCUCAAGUUGGUCAGCAAGAUUAAUUAAGUUGUUGAUGUUGUUGCUGUUCUGGUUUUGAGACAGGGCUGCAUGUAGUCCAGGACCUGCUGGACUUACUACGGAGCUAAGGAUGACCCUUAGUUACUAAUCUUCCUGCCUCCAUUUCUUGAAUCCUGGGACUACAAAGCAUGCAUUACAACACUUAGUUUAAGUGGUUCUAAGCACAGAACUCUGUUUUGUACUUAUGAGACAGGACUCUACUAACUAAACUACACUGUCACUCCCAUGUUACAUAUAUAUUACAAUAUAAUUACAUUAUUCAUCCUUUCUCACCCUCCCUCCCUCCCAAACUUCCCAUAUAGCUUAUCCUCCUUUGCCUUCUUUCAAAUCCAUGGCCUCUUUUUAAUUGAUGGCUAUUGAGUGCACUAGCAUGCAAUAAAUUCAUGAAUUUAUUGACUGUGAAAAAUACAAAUUGAUUGGGAAUCUUUUCUUCUUACUAGGGAACAGUAGGCCUAUGUGGCCGUUGUUUUUGGAAUAUUACUCUAGUUUCAGAAGUUUUAGAAAGCUAUGAGUCAUUUAUGCUAUUCACUAAUAUAAUGAAUCUAAGUCUUAUUUAAAUGUUUGUUUUAAUAGUAUUUAAUAAAUGAUUUAAGAAUAAGCUAAAUAGGAAAUUACUAUAGGCUACAUUACUGUAACUUGCUAACAAUCUGAGCUCAUGCCAACAUUAUAAAUUCUAUUGAAUGGUCUAGUUUGAAAAGCUCUGUUCUGGAACUAGUCUAGUCCCAAGAAGAGCACUGGGGAUAAUGGGCUUUUGAGGACAUAGAUUAGAAAUGAGUGGAGCUGUAAGCAACUGUAAAAAAAAAUAAUAAUUAAUAAUAAUAAUUCAAGGCUGGGUCUGAAAUUGAUGGAUCUGUGGCAUCAUGAGCAAUAAUAAUCAGAACAGCUUGAUGAGUGUACACACAUGCUAAAUGUCUGACAGCUUCUUCAUUCAACAAUGUUCACAGCUGGACAAGAAAGGAUGCAUUAUAUCUUUUCUGCAAAAAGGAAGAAAGCUUUAGCAUUGAAGAAACUUGUUCAACAUCACCAUGUUUAUAGCAGGUAGCACCGUGAAGGCAAUAUUCUACUUCAGUGAUGGUUGAUUGAGUCCUGGACUGCAUGGCUGCUGACUAAUUGAGCUUAAUAAAGUAUGCAAGUGAAUUUUCAGUAGUUUUAAAGCUAUACUUCAUGUUUCCAGUUUUCAAACAGUUCCAUGAAAAUCAAUUAACUUUUUUAAUUAAAAAAAAACGAUGAUGUACUUACACAGCAUCAGGCAUAAUACUGGUGCAUCACAAAAACACUCUGAUACACUCAUCAAUUCAGUGACGGAAGUACAUAUUACCAUUACUAAUAUAAAAACAUCAAGCUCAGAGAGGUAAAGAAAGUUGCUUCAGAUACAGAAAGUAUGUGACAAAGAUACAGUAUCAGCAGAAAGUAGUUAUGCAACUUCUGUUCUGAUAUUUUCUUUGAGGAAGAUUGAAUAAUAGUAGGAUUAUGACAAUAACAACAGAUAAUAUCUCAGAUUUUACCCAUGACAAACACUGUUUAAACACCCUUUGUACUUCCGUAAGUGUAGUGUGUGAAAACAUAUUUUUACUACUAUUCUGCACAUGAAGUAAAUAAGUAUAAAAGGUACUAAAUAAUUAUCCACCUAAUUGACAGCUAUAAAAAGCCAAUAGUGAAGUACUCUGCAUUGGACAAAAUCUAAGGUUAUACCACAAUAUUAUAUUUAAAAAAUAAACAAAGUCCAAAUGCUUACAAAAGUCAUAAGAUUUGGAAAAACAUUUCCAUAUUCUGGGUACUCCGCCUAAAUCCCAUCUCCAAUUUAUUACUCAAAAGUGUUCAGCAACAUUAUGGGAUGUAUAUACUAUGCCAAAAGUCCUUCAGGGAAACAAAUAUUACCUAGAGUCAGAAAUGCAGAGAAUGGAGCAUACAGCCUCAAAGUUCUCCCGAAAUUGAACACUGAAUAUUUUUCAUCUAGUCAGUAAAAGUCAUAAUCUUAUUGAGAUUUCUCUAAGGUAGUUACAGCCUUUAUAAAAUGGUGGGAUUUAUUUAAAACGUGUGUGCACUCAGCCAUAAAAAUAAAGUGGAGAACAAUGCAAAUCAAAUUGUAUAAUUUGUUCAAAUGCAUGUCUCUUUGGUCACACCUUCUUAAUGAAUAGAAGCAGACAAGCAAGGCAGCUAAUAAGUUAUUUUAAUAGGGUGAUGUAACGGUGUGUGAACUGUUACCUCCUGGGAGAGUGACUGACAGAUUACUGGUCUCAUUACUGUGUAGAUUAGUCUCAGGAAUUCAUUAGUGCCCAGUGUGGCAGCUCUGCUCAGUGCCCUUAAUUUGAAGAAAGAGACAGGAGGCCGGUGUGCCCAUGCAACUCCAAAGACGGAUGAUCUGGAGUUGAAGGCUUUUAGAGCAAAGGACUCUCCUGAGAAGAUGGCAAUUAUUCAUGGUUUUUUUUUUUUUUUCAAGCCAGUAGUGACAGCUCUCUUUCCUUUAGUCUGUAUCAGUACAUUAAAAAAAAAAAAAUGCUACAGGCGACUGGAUUUCACGUUACCUUGGAAGAAAGAGAGCUAAUGCAGAGUAUUUCAAAGGUAUUAUCUGUAUGGCUGAGCUUAAGUAUAAACAAUUUGACUUUACAGAAGGAUGAAGGCAAACAGAAGUAGCAUGGAAAAGUGUAAUUUAUGCAUUUAAUUUUUAUGUAAUAGGUUUGCCCCCCAUCGCCAAAGCUUUGUAUUGAUUGAUUUUAAAAUCUUUUACAUGGUAUUUCUACCACAGGUAGGAAAACCAUUUCUCUGAAGACACUUUAUAACAAACAAUAUUCUAAUCGUUGGGACAGAAAACAGAAUCCUCAAAGCAUUGGUCACAUUCUAUUAAAAAAAAAACUUUCCAACUUUGACUCUAGCUCUUAGAAAUAAAUUCAUAUUACAAGCAACGAUACCCAUGUAGGAUUUUAUAUCUGAAACCAAAUGUUGCCAUUCCUGUGAUAUAAUAUUUCUUUUUUGUUCUAUUCUAAUCUCUUAAUUCAUAGCACUGUAUAGUAUCAUAUUUCUUUUAAAAAUUAUAUUGUUCAAACUGUUGAAUCUAUUUUAAAAUUAGUUUCAAUUUUAUUUUACCAUUAUCAAUAAUACAGGAUAUGUACAUUGAAAAACUACAGAAUAACCAUCUCAGGGGAAAAUUUUUUCAUGUUAAGUUUUGUAAGAAAAAUUACUGUGUACUUACACAGCAUCAGGCAUAAUAUUGGUCCUUCACAAAAACACUCUGAUACACUUAUCAAUUCAGUGAUGGAAGUACAUAUUACUAUUUCCAUUACUAAUAUAAAAAUGUCAAGCUCAGAGAGGUAAAGAAAGUUGCUUCAGAUACAGAAAGUAUGUGACAGAGAUACAGUAUCAGCAGAAAGUAGCUAUGCAAUGAAUAUUGUUUGAACAAAUAGUGCAUUAUUUGCACACACAAUCUUGGCUGCAAAAGUGGUUUAAUUUUGUAAAUAACAGUGACUUCUCCCAGCAAUAACUGCAGAACAGAAGACACAGGCAGGCUGGUUUUCACCAUUCACUCCUGGGAUCUAGUGAGAGUAUUUGUGUGCCUUCUCUCAAUCAUCCUAUAGACACAGGGCCACUCACACUAUGGUUGUGGGCUCUGGAUAUACUAUCUGAGCUCAUAGGUUGCCUUCUAUUCUUAUUAGCUGCAUAUAAAGCUUGAUUAAAAUUUCUGUGCAUAUUGUUUAAAUCUCUUAUAUCAGUAAAUAAUAUAUAAUAUAGAUGUGUUUGGAAGAUUACAAAUUUUAGAAAUUUAGAACAAUUUCUGACAUCUGGCACACAGUCAAUCAUUGUCAGCCAUUAGCACAGUUAUACUGAGCAUGUUUAUGACUCUGCGGUUGGUUCUCCUUCAAGAGACUGGAACAGUGACUUCAAACUCUUACAUAUUUUGUAGUUGGGAACCCAGACUUCUUUUUCUUUGGCUUUACUUUUAAGAAUUCAAAUUCUCAAGAUGGUAUUCUCUUUGUUUUUAAGAGAACCUGCCAUUGACCUCCUCUCAGACUUACAAAGAAAUAGGACCCUAACUCUCCCUCACAAGGGAGUACCUGAAGAUCAGCCCUGGAUAUGGCUGUGUUGCUAUCUCUGCAGCUGAAUGGAAGUUUACAGCACUCAAGUCUGAGUCUCACUUUCUUAGUGUCCAAGGGUAACCACUCUAGCACAUCUUUCAGAAGAUGUUGAGUUAGAACAAUAAGGUCAAGAGCAGAUGAGUCAGCUUGGUUGUAUAGAUUGAGUGACUUAAAGCAAGCUAGAGUGGGACGUUCACAAAGAGUUUCUAUAGAAACAUACUCUUGUUGUUUUCCUUUUCAACUCUCCUGGCAAUUGUUGGUGAUAAAUGGAUGCUCAGAGGUUAUCUUUGACUUUUCUUUCUCAUUGGAUACUCCAUCAUGAUGUCAGCCAGUCUCUUUCAUGAAGGUAGGUAUGUAGUUAUUGGCCAGAGUUUAUCAGUUCUAUUUCUAUUCAUCUCAAACCCAGUUAACAGUCUAUGUGUUCUUAAAAGGAACAAAUAAGGUAUGACCAGAAAUUAAGCAUGAGCCUGAAAGUAGCAGAGUAACAGCAAAGAAGUUGCCAGUACUGGGAUGACCACCAAAAUUAACUUGCCUACUCUGUAUUGCCCCUGUGCUCACAGAACAAAAGGAAAUCAUGUGUCCUUGCUUUGGAAAGCUGGGGUACAAAUCAAUAUCUGCUUGUUUUUAUUAUAAGCUAAAAUAUUAAUGCUUAUAUUUAUUUAUUAUUUAAUUGCAUUUAGUUAUCAAUUAAUGAGUAUCACAUAAUAAAUAAAAAUUUGUGUCAAAAUAUGACUUCAAUGACAAGUAAAAAUUGUUUUUACCACCACAAGAUGACAAUGCAAUAUUUUCCUUUUCUUGGUAUAUUACUCAGGAUUCUCUAGAGGAACAAAACACACACACACACACACACACACACACACACACACACUAGAUAUGUUAGAAUGUCUUAUACUGUGUGGCCCACCUAGUCAAGCAAUGGCUGUCUAUCAAUGGAAUGUCCAAGAAUCCAGGAGUUAGUUGGCCAGGCCAUGAGUCUGAAUGUCUCACCUGGUCUGCAAUAUAUGCCAUAAUCUCAAAGUAGAUUUUAUUGCCAAUGAAGGAAUGGAGUUGAUCAUGAUAGUGAGAGUUAACAGGCAUGGAGAGCAAUCUUUCUUUGCCCAUGCCCUUUAUAUAGGCUGUCAGAAGGAAGUGGCUCUUUCCACUUAGAAAGAUCUGGAUCCAGAUUAUAAGUGAGUCUCCCCACUUCAAAUCAUUUAACUAAAGAGGUAUACCCAGACAUUUUGGUUUUAGUUAAUUUCAAUUGUAGUUGACAACCAAGAGCAGCUGUUACAAGUUCAGCCCUUGUCAACUUGAUACACAAUCAUAUUUUCUUAUGUUAUGCCUAAUUUCCAAAUGAAAACAAUAACCAGAUCAUAAUUAUAUCUAAUACGGUGUAACUGGCCCUUGUACAACAGCAAACAUGAUUAUGGACCCUGUUCUGUCCUCUGUUGAAACAUGGUGGCACAUUCUUACUCCAAUUGUAGCACUGUAAAAAUAGAGACAGGCAGACACAGAGGUGUGCUGGUGUCAGCCUGCUCUAUUAAGUGAGCCUCAACUCCCACAGAGAUUUUCUCAAAGAACAUGGUGAGGGGGGAAAAGUGCACAGCUUUUGAAGGACACCAGAGAUUGAUCUCUGGCCCUGACCUACAUCUGACCUACAAACACACACACACGUAAACACACACACACGCUUGCAUACACACACAUGCACCCAUGCACAAGCAUGUACAUAUAUGUUCACAAAGCCUCACAUGCGCUUAUAAAUGCUCACACACACAUACACACUCAUUCAUGUAUAUUCAGAUAGACAACCAUGCAUGUACACACACAUGCAUACACACACAUACAUGUACACAGAUAACUUAUGCAUACACACAGACAUACACACUUGUAGGCACAUGCACAAACCUAGUGAAUGAAUAUCUUUUACUACUAUGUAUCUUUAGAAAUAAAGUCUUAACUUCGGUGUAUAAAAAAAUUUUAAGUUGCUCAGAUCCUAUUUGUUUUGUGUAAUUUUUGUGCAUGUGAUACAACACAGUAUUUAUAUCUUCACAGGAGUUAUAUAUUAUGAACAUCUUACUUAACUCUAUUUACUGACAAUGUAUCAUACAAUGUUCUAGGCAGUGGGAAACAGCAAAUCUUUUUUAAAAACUGAUUCAUGCUUAACAAUCAGUAAAUUCUAUAAAACUAUGAAUGUCUAAUGUUUUUAGACUGUAAAGAAGAACAACUAAGAUUAUACUCUCUGAAAUUGCAUAUAGGAUAUUUCAUCAUAACUCUAAGUAAUUGGUGUUAUUUUAAGUUUAUUUUGAUACUUUUCUAAAAAUGAAAAAUGACACCGCUGUUUGUGGGUUAGUAGCUGGUGGGAAUUCUUUUUACAGCUGCCUGUGUCAUUUGUCUUAAUCAGACAGCAAAUAAGCCUCCAUUUCUUCAGGACCUUAAGAUCACUGUGUGUCAUUUCUAUUCUGGCCCCUGGAAUUUCAAAAAAUAUAGCUUAAGCUCUAUGUUUUUCCAUCCAUGUGGAAAAAUAUGCAGAAUCGCUAAAUUCUAUGUUUCAAUUCAAGUACUUAAAACAAUACGUUAAAAAAAAAAAGCUGGCAUAACUUCACAGAAAGCGAGGUUAUGUUAUCUGUGUGUUUUAGCAGAGAAAUGUAAAAUGUGUGAAAGUUCUGUAACAUAGAAGCAACUAGUGUACACCCUUAAGCAUAUUGCUGACCUCUCUGAGGCUGUAGUGUUGCUCUGCCAAGUACAUAUAUGAAUAAUCAGUAUGCAUUAUAAGUGUAUACACACAUACAUGUGUAUGUAAGAAAAGGAAUGGUGUUUACUGAAAAAGUAGUUAUCUUUUUAAAGCUUAUGUGCAUGGCUUGCAAAAAUUAGUGAAAGAUCAAAGUCUACCCAGAAUGAUAUCAUAACAAGGUAGUAUGAAAUCAGAUCAUGUGAAAAGCUGUAUAUUUACACAAGGGGGUCAGAAAGCAGCUGGCUCUAUGUAAACUAAAGAAAUCCAACAAACAUUCUAAGGCAGCUCUCAUUUUUUUUAUUAUUUUUUAAAUUUUCAAAACAGGGUUUCUCUGUAUAGCCCUGGCUGUCCUGGAACUCACUCUGUAGACCAGGCUGGCCUCGAACUUAGAAAUCCGCCUGCCUCUGCCUCCUAACUGCUUGGAUUAAAGGCAUGCAACACCACUGCCAGGCUUUUUUUUUUUUUUUUUUUUUUUUAGUUCUCAUUCUUGAUCUGCAAUGGACAUAGCAUCAAGCAUCAUUUUUAAGUAAUGUACUAUCAUUUUUACAAAUUUUACAAAUUACAGAUAUUACAAAUAUUUUCUAAAACAUAAGAUCCUAAUUUGGGUGUGUGUGUGUUCCCUAAAAAUAACAAUUUUUGUUAUCCUGCAUAAAAUUAAAAAUAUGUUUAUUUCAUCUUUGUGACUUAUUUUCUUGAAAAUUUCAUUUUAAAUUCAGUAUAAACAACUUAUCUCUAUUAUUUAGAGGAAACAGUUUUACAUUUAAUAAAACAACUUUGGGCUAUUUAUACAUGUUUUAUUUUUAGUCUGAGGGUCCGAGCAAUUUUUAAUUUCUUAGCCAUUGAAAUCAAGACUCUUUUGCUGAACAAAUGACACACUUUGGUCAUGGGCUUUAGAUAAACAUAGCAGGAACUGACUUGGAAGUCUUUUCCAUGGCUACCUCCAUAGUAUAGAAAAGAUGCUGUGCCUGCUGCCAAAAGAAAAUUAAUCAGAUCCUUCCCAGCUGUAAGAUUUUGAACCAAAACAAUAUAUCCUCCCAAAAUACAGUAGUGACACUUACAUUUUUGGUAGGCAACAGAGGUAUAAUUUGACUUUUUUAAAAUUAGGUACUUUCUUCAUUAACAUCUCCAGAGCUAUCCCAAAAGUCCCCCACCCCCUCCCCUCCCNNNNNNNNNNNNNNNGUCGAAUGCUUUUUCCGCAUCUAACGAGAUGAUCAUGUGGUUUUUGUCUUUGAGUUUGUUUAUAUAAUGGAUUACAUUGAUGGAUUUUUGUAUGUUAAACCAUCCCUGCAUCCCUGGAAUGAAACCUACUUGAUUAGGAUGGAUGAUUGUUUUGAUGUGUUCUUGGAUUUGGUUAGCGAGAAUUUUAUUGAGUAUUUUUGCAUCGAUAUUCAUGAGGGAUUGAUCUGAAUUGGUCUGAAGUUCUCUAUCUUUGUUGGGUCUUUCUGUGGUUUAGGUAUCAGAGUAAUUGUGGCUUCAUAGAAUGAGUUGGGUAGAGUACCUUCUACUUCUAUUUUGUUUUGGGGUGCCCAGAACUGGGUGAGGUGGGAGUGCUGGGUUCUGAUGAUGGUGAGUGUCUUGGCUUCUGUUAGUAAGAUUCUUAAGUUUGCCUUUCGCCAUCUGGUAAUCUUCAUUGCUAGUUGUUAUAGUUGUCUCUGGUUAGAGCUUGUUCUUCUUGUGAUUCAGUUAGCCUCUAUCAGCAGACCUGGUAGACUAGCUCUGUCCUGAGUUUCAGUGGUCUGAGCGCUCUCUGCAGGCAAGAUCUUCUCUUGCAGGGAAGGUGCACAGAUAUCUGGAGUUCAGACCUGCCUCCUGGCAGAAGAUGAAGGCUUGAAACAGGGCCUGUUAGCUUCUGUAGUCCAUACCCUUACCUGUUCAGACUAGUCUUGGAGGAAUCAGGGAACCAAGAUGGCCUCCCCAGGUGCUCUGGCAAAGCCCUCCUGGGCAGGGAGGUCACCUGUCCUCUGGCAGGGAAGGUGCCCGGAUGUCUGGAGCCUGAAAUGGGGUCUGCUUCAGAAGCUGUCCUCUAGGCACCUUGGGGGUGUCCUCUGACUCCUAGCCCAGGUGACCAGGUGCUGGCACUGACCAGAAGGGACUUGUGACCCUGGUCAGGCCGGGUUUACUGCUUCCCUAAUGCUGUCUCAGGUCCUGCGCGAUUGGAAUAAACAGAAGUUGUAUUCCACUCACUGGUGGUCCUAAGAUCACGUGGAGUCAGAUCUUUUUACGGAUGGUUGUGAGCCACCAUGUGGUUGCUUGGAUUUGAACUCUGAACCUUAGGAAGAGCAGUCGGGUGCUUUUACCCACUGAGCCAUCUCACCAGCCCGAGAGUCCUCAAGGGACCUUGGGGGUGUCUGCCAACUCCGAACCCAAGGUGACCCGUUGCUGGUGCCGACCAGAAGGGACUUGUGACCCUGGUCAGGCCGGGUUUUCUGCUUCUCUAAUGCUGGUCUCACGCGAUUGGAAUGGAACAGAAGAUGUGUUCCACUCACCGGUGGUCCUAAGAUCACAUGGAGAGUCCUCUUUGGACCUUGGGGGUGUCCGUCGACUCCGCGCCCAAGGUGACCCGGUGCUGGCCCCGACUGGAAGGAACUUGUCGAUAUCAUUUGAUUUAAGGUGCAUUUAAUAGGAAUUUGUGACUGGUACUGUAAAUCUAUUGAACUAUUCAUGACUGGUGAGGUCACAGAACCUCAUGAAGAAUCUGCUACUACUCUAAAGCAGAAUAGUUUCUAGCUUGAGUAUAAACAUAUUUCCUUAUGCUCACAGAUAAGUAUAGCCUUCACACCUCAUCAAAGCAGCUUCUUUUUUGCAGUGUGUGUCAUAUGGAGACUCUACCAUGGAAACCCACAAGUGGUUACAAUGCUGAGAACUACUGAUUAACUGUAGGUUGUCCGUCCCCAGAUGAUACAUCUACAGUACAACCCUUGCACCUAAGGUUCAUUAGGAAAGACAGUAGAAAAAUGUAUGAGCCAGAGGGCCAGACAUUUACUGCAAGAUAGCAUCUGCGAAAGGUGAACUGCUACCAUGAAAUCACAACUUUAGGGAAACAAGACCUGUAAAGUGGUUGACAUGACUCCGUAGAUGGGGCAACUCUCCUCCUAGAUAAGAAGCUAGAGGCAGUUAAUAGCAAGUAAAUACCAGCAGACUUGUCUUCUCUAAGGACAAGGCUCCUGAUAGGUCGUCUAAUUUCAAGUGGUCAGCUCUAAACAUACAUACAUAGGAACAAUACUAAUGAACCCAGGAGAGAGAGGGGUGGAGGGGCAAAAGGGGAGGGGGAGGCAGAGGAAAGGGAGAGGGAGAAUGUAUGUGUGUGUGUGUUUAUCUGUAAUAAAAAUAAUUAAAGAUGAAACUAUAAGUUUUACAGGAAAUGGAGGGAACACAGAGUUGGCUGGUGAAGAGAUGAAUGAAAUAAUAUAAAUACAGUACUGAGGUAAGAAAUUCAUAUAUAUAUGUUAUUAUGAAUAGAUAGAUAGAUAGAUAGAUAGAUAGAUAGAUAGAUAGAUAGAUAGAUGAUAGAUAGAUAGAUAGAUAUGACACUCUCAAAUAGAAAUUUCCCAAUUCAUAUGCUAACGGACUGCCUAUACCAUUUAGUUCUUUUUCUCAAGACCAGAAGCAGCAGCAACAGCAGCCCACAAUGGUGUAAGAACCACAUAAGGUUGGCUUUAAUUUCUUAGAAGAAAUGCAAUUGCUUCUUUAUCACAUACAACUUUCCAGAGUCUUGCUCAUUCAUAUACAGUAAACUCUAGUGGUUUUUUUCUUUUUUUUCUUCAUUUUUUUAAUUGUUGAAAAAUUCAUAGUUAUAGACUUCUUUAUGCCUACUGUACAAACAUCAGCAUGUUGAGAAAGUCAAGUGAGGUUUAAUUAUAGCUUGGAUGAUGUUCACCACAUAUUUUGUUAUCAGCUCUUCUACAAUUUUAGUGUUCAUUUAAGCAUACCCACAAAAUUGUUAACAAAAGCACAGAUUCUAGUUAACAUUAUAAUAAAGUUAUAUGUCGUUUCAUUUUAGGGAAUAUGCUGGCUAUUGAGCCCAGGUUUUUCACAUGCUAAGCAAGUGUUUUACCAUGGAGCUACAUGAUCAGCCCAGCAUCUGAAUUUUCAGUGGGCAGUUUUGUUGUAGUACAUUUGUUUGUGUUACUAUGAGAUGAAUCUUCAGAGCACUUUCUUCUUGCAAAACUGAAUCUCUCUCUCUAUGAAACAACUGCUAUUUUCACUGUCCACCAUUCUACUUCCUAAAACUUUGACCACUUUAGGUGGUUAUUGUUUUGAAACCUCACACUUUGUCAUUUUGUGAUUGGCUAUUUCAAUAGUUUGUCAAGGCUCAGACUUGCAGCAUGUGACAUGAAGUUCUUCAUUUUUAAAGCAAAAUAAUAUAAAUUGUGCAAACAUACUAGUUUGUUAAGCCCAUUCAUUUGUUGGUAGUUAUUUCAGAUGAUUCUACUUCUUGACGUUUGUACUACAUAGUGGCGCUGACUGCAGUGAUGUAACUCUUUAGGACAUGUUUGCAAUUAUCAGAGGUACUGUGUUAUGUAACAGAAUUUUUAUGGAGAGAAAAAACACACACUUGUAACCACAGCUGGCUAUACUGCUUUGGCUCCGGGUGGGUCACACAUGUGCACUUUCCCAGGAGCUAUCUGAAUUCAUGAAUGAAAGACACACACACACACACACAAACACACACACACACACUUGUUGCAGUAAAUCUCCAACCCCGAUAAGCCCUGCAAAGAACACACAACUCAGUUGUUAUACUUAUAAGCUGCAUACCUAGAUUGGGCAGAUAUACCACUAUACUACUAUAUUCCCCAGCUGUAAGAUCUCUUGCUACUUGUGGCUCCUCCACAUGGUUCGGCUCCAUGUAUUUUAUACCUCCUCUUCUUUCAUCUUCCUCUGUCUCCUCAUCUCUCCCUCCUCCUUCCUCUCUCCCCUCUCUAAAACCUCCAACCCCACUUUUCCCUUCCACUGCCCAAUCACAGGCUCUAGCCUUUAUUCCAUUAGUUAAAAUGGGGAAAAGGUUCACCUAAAACUGCCUGAAUAUGUGAUCCACUCCUCCUUGGGCAGCCCCUCUUGAGGAAGCAGAAUUAGCAUCAAAAUACAAACACCAACAGGGCAAUUCAACACACACACACACACACACACACACACACACACACACACACACACACACGUUUUUUUAGGCUUACAACCUGUUUAGUCUGUUCUGAAAUGCCACAGCAUAGUUAAAUCAUUAAACUUAGCCUUGGUGGGAGGAAUGGUGCUGAAGCUUUAUCAGUCUUUAGCUCUAGUAUUUGUCUUUUUUAUUACAUGUUUGCAUGUUAGCAUGUAUUUUCGUCUCUCCUCUUUUAAGGAUUUUAUUCGGCAGAUGUUGGUCUGCUUAGUUUGUUCCUUAUCCUAUCAUCUUUUUCCUUCUUAUUUUUUGGUGGGUUUCUUUCAUAUGAUUUUCUGUCCUUUGUACUACAUUUUUAAUCUUGGCAGUCAUAACUAAAUUUUAGGUUCUCAUUAUUCUGUUUCUUUGAUUAUAUGGGAUUUUCUUUAAAUCUUAUUUUCAAGAUGCUUUUAAGAAUGUUUUAAAUGUUUGUUUUUGUUUUCUCAAUUAGUUCAGCUUCCUCUAAGGUGAAUUUCUGUCUUCCAAGUUUUGGUGUUUCCUUUUUAAUUUUGUCAGUUUUCCUCCAAUGGUAAAGACUUCUGUCUUUUAUUAAGGAAGAAAGACUGAGGAGAUGAACAUAUAGUUCUGCUUUGUUUUGUUAACAGGACAGUUUUCCUACAGACUUUCUCCUCUACCUACAGGAAUCUCUUCCUGAGAUGGGCACACAAUGUUGACUAGCAAGUCCUUUAGGAUGGAUGAGGCGAGCUUCUGUUUGGUUUGAAAACACUCCAGAGAUUUUAGGUUUCCACUUUUGCACCAACACAUUUAGAAGUUAGACUUUUCUGGACUUAUUUGGUUUCUGUAGAAAUAAUUCUCACAUGUCUUUGAUGGGACAGAAUGCUGCCUUUCUGAGACAUGUGUUCAAGUUGGAGACUGGCUUGAACUUUGUCAUAUUCUGCUUCAAAUAAACUGUUCCUAGCUUCAUAUUUUACACCUCCCCUAACUUUUGCCAACUGACUUUGUACUCAGAGUUCUCUGGGAUUUGAAAGGCAGAUUAACUGCCUUCUAUACAGAUCUCUAUUGCUUGUUGAUUUCUCUUCAUAUGUAAACACUUUGCUCCUUCUUAGAAUUGGGAACAAAACACCCAUGGAAGGAGUUACAGAGACAAAGUUUGGAGCUGUGACAAAAGGAUGGACCAUCUAGAGACUGUUUUCCGGGGAUCCAUCCCAUAAUCAGCUUCCAAACGCUGACACCAUUGCAAAAUAAAUAAAUAAAUAGUAUAAAAUAUAAAAUAUGAUACAUGAUAUAUGAUAUAUGUUUUUUAUUUAUUUACAUUUCAAAUGUUAUCCCCCUUCCCAGUUUCUCCUCCCCAAACUCCCUAUCACAUAUCCCACUCACCCACCCACUUGGGCCUCACUGCCCUAGAAUUCCCCUAUGCUGGGGGUUAAAGCCUUCACAGGGCCCAUUGAUGUCAGAUAAAGCUAUCCUCUGCUACCUACACAGCUGGAGCCAUGGGUCCCUCCGUGUGUACCCUUUGUUUGGUGGUUUAGUCCUUGGGAGCUCUUGAGGGGUCUGGUUGGAUGAUAUUGUUGUUCUUCCUAUGGAGUUGCAAACCUCUUCAGCUCUUUCAGUCUUUCCUCUAACUCCUCCAUUGGGGUUCCCGUGUUCAGUCAGAUGGUUGGCUAUGAACAUCCGAGUCUGUAUUGGUCAGACUCUGGCUGAGCCUCUCAGGGGACAGUCAUAUCAGGUUCUUGUCAGCGAGCAUUUCUUGGCAUCUGGUUUUGGUGUCUGCAAAUGCAAUGAAUCCCUAUGUGGGGCAGUUUCGGGAUGGCCAUUCCUUCUGUCUCUGCUCUACUCUUUGUCCCUCAUUUUCUUUAGACAGGAACAAUUCUGUGUUAAUACUUUUGAGAUAGGUGGGUGGCACCAUCCCUCAAUUGAGGCCGAUCCCUAACAUCUGGAUAUGGUCUUUAGAGGUUCUCUCUCCCCUCUGUUGGGUAUUUCAGAUACUGUCAUCCCUGUUGGGUCCUGGGAGCCUCUUGCUUUCCUGGCAUCUAGGACUUUCUAGUUGCUACCCCCAGUUCCCCAUCCCCCACUACUACACACCUUCAUUCAAUUUCUUGACUCUUCUCCCAUACUGAUCCUGUCACCCUCCCCCCUACCAGAUCCCUCCCACACUCUACUUACCAUGAUUAUUUUGUUUCCUUUUCUAAGUAGGAAUGAAGCGUUCACAUGUUGGCCUUCCUUCUUGAGCUUCAUAUGGUCUGAGUUGUAUCGUGUAUAUUCUGACCUUUUUGCCUAAUAUCUACUUAUCAGUGAGUACAUGCCAUGUGUAUUCCUCUGUGGCUGAGAUAUCUCACUCAGGAUCACAUUUUCUAGUUCCAUCCAUUUGCCUGUGAAUUUCAUAAAGUCAUUGUUUUGAGUAAUUAGUAUUUGAGUUGAGUAGAACUCCAUUGCGGAAAUAUACCACAUUUUCUGUAUCCAUUCCUCUGUUGAGGGACAUCUGGGUUGUUUCCAUCUUCUGGCUAUUAUAAAUAAGGCUUCAAUGAACAUAGUGGAGCAUGUGUCUGAUUCUUCAUUCUUUUUGUGUCAAAUGAUCUUUUCUACACUUAUAUUCCAAGAAUUAAUUAGAAAUCUAAUCUUCAGGAAUGCAUAAGAGUUGUCUUAUCUGUUAGGCAUUUUCCUUUGUGCUCUUUUUUAUUAUUUUCUGUCUCCCACCUAUGUUUCUCUCUGAUACAGGGAACUGGCUCUGCCAAUAAUAUUUUGUUACCAACUGCAGGCCAGCAGUCAACCAUUAAGAAAUACCAGAGAGAUACUGGCAAGUGGGGAAAAUAGAAAAGGUAACCAUACCUCCACCUGCUUCUGCCUUGGGCAACAUCUCUAAAAUUCCAGCCCUUCUUUUAUUUCGACUAACUCAAUACCUUCUGAACAUACACACCCCCUAACUUGUGAUUCCAAUUCUUGCCUACUAAUGUUUGAUUCUAGGAUCAGCCAACAAUAUCUUGUCCCUGGGUCCCUACAGCCAUAAUGGUGCUAAUAGCAUUAAAUGUUGUUUACUGAUAUGACUUUUUACAUCACAUCAUACUCUUUUUAAUAGAAAAAAAUUCUAUAAAAGUAUUCACCUUGAUUCUUCUUACUGUUUUCUGAAAGACAUGGACAUAAGGAAUAUUCUAUUUAUCUAUACUUUUAGUUUAAUGGGUUCUUGGAAGAAAUGGAAGAUCUAUGUAUAUGGCCAGUCUGUCAACAUGAACUGAAAAAUGAAUGUUUUGUGGAUUUGGGUGUAUAUUGUCAAAACCUUUGUAUCAUAUUUUAUUUCCACUAACAGCAGAUGGUGUUCAUAUCUGACAUCUGCAUAGCUCAGUGUGUGAUACUGGUAUCAUCACUGUAUCUGACUUUUACAUAGGAAUAUGAAUUAAAAUAUAUGUAUGUUCUCUUGACUCAGAACAUUUAAUUUUUCUUCCUAACAGCUGGAAAUAAUCUAUGAGGACAGAAAGACAGUAGCACAUGAAUAAGUUUGGGUUCAAAGUGGCUAGUCAGUUACUCAAGACUUCAGAUUCCCAACACUAAGAGAGAUACAAAAAGCUGCUUUCCUGGCAGCUGCUCUAAAGUCUAAAGAGGAAAGUUUUUUUUGUUUUUUUGUUUUUUGUUUUUUUGUUUGUUUUGUUUUUUCUGGCUAAAAGUAAAGUUCUUCCCAGAAAAAGAAAGUUGUCACUGGGAUCCAAGUUUUCAAAGCAUUACUCAGAAAACAGUAUGUCUCACAAAAGGCUGAGUCACAAUCAUCUACCUCUGCUUUUAAGAUUAAUAAACAGUCAGGAAAAGUUAUAUCUUACAUGGAUUUCCAUAUAGAGAAUGAGAAACAGAGUAAAAGUACAGGAUUUCGAAUGUGAUAUGUUGCCUUUUCUCAACUGUAUGGAACAAAGUCUUAGUUGCAUCCCUUACACAAAUCACAUCAAUUUAUCAAUUUGAAGUCUUGGUUGGCCACGGCUUAUGGCAUUUUAUGGUGGCUUUGUAAUCAUGCUUUUGGUCUUUGUAAUUUCAUUAAUUAACACUGGUCAUCUACACAGUCAGGAUGUCCUCUAUGACCCCAGCUUCUUCCACCUGCAGAGAUGGUAUACUUUUUCAUCACCCUAUUGCUUUGCUCUAGUGUGCAUUACUUCCAUUAUUUAGCAUCAACUUUUUUAUCUUGAAAUUGAAAAUAAUUGGGCCCAGAAUUAUCCAUCCCUUGCUGAGCAAAGCAUAUGACUAAGAGAGAUCGCGUCUCAUAAAAUCAAUGUAGCUAAUCCUUAUGUUCACAAAAAUCUCCUAUUAGGCUGCAUGAUCUUUUCUCACAACAAUGUUAUUUUAUCUUUUGUGUUGAUUUAAAGAGUUAAAGUCUAUCUCCUCCUCCUCCUCUCCCACCCUCUGUUCUAACUUUUCUUUCUUCCCUUUCUCCCAUUAUUCAAGAAGAUAAAAAAGUGGAAGAGUCACAGAUCUUAGCUUCAUCAGCAAUGACUUUAUUCACAGCUCUCACAUUCCAUGUGGUCUAUGAACAGGUUACUGUAGAAAAUAAAGGGGCUUUUAGUUUUAUAGGGUGACCAAUUAGUGUUCUGACUAAACUCAGAUGUUUUGGUGACUUGUUGGGGUGGAGCCCAAUAAUUUUGCCAAGAUGGGAUCCACACGAGUGAUCUUUUUGGUCGAUACUCAGCCCCAAAUCACAGUCAAGUGGAAACAGGGCACUCAGCAGACAGAGAACUCCAAUUAGAAUAAUUAGGAGAAGUAAUUUGCACAGUUUCAAAAAAAAAAAAAAAAGAAGGAAGAACUCUUGACAUUGCAAUUUAUCUAAUGAAUAUCUUAUUGAAGACUACUUGUAAUGUGAAAUUAAAAGCCAAAAAAAAAAAAAAAAUGAGUACAUUAGGCCAAUAGAUGCCCCUGGAGCUCCCCUACUUUAUUUGCCUUGUUUCUACACACAUCAUUUCUCAACUUAUUAGUUAUCAGCUUAAGCCCUCAGAAUCAAGGGGAAAUUCACAAAUUCUUUUAGAAAAUAGUAACACUUCAUACUCACAAGUACUCCACAAAAAUCUUCUAUUUGCUACAAUUUAUGUCUGAAGGGAUUUAAGUUUAAUUGUCUUGGUCUCUUAGAAAAGAAAAGACUUGGAAGCAUUUAGUAUGACUAAAACUUUUCUCUCAUGCUGUGACUUUAAUUAUGGAAAGUCGGGUCCCCUUAUAAUGCCCUGGAUUGUGUAGGAAAUGCCCAUCAGGAACAAAGCAAGUGUAAUACCAUGAUCUGAAAUUAUUGGCUCCUAUACUUUCUAGUUUGUUUAAAAACACAACUGAAUGAAUCCACACAGGAGAGCACUUCUACAUGUUCAUUUCAUUUUAUUCAUAUGACUAUGUUCCCCUUUGGUACACAUCAAAUACACAAUAUUCAUAUGGAUCUCCAAACAGGGCAUUGGAUCUCUAGAAAGUGGGAUGGUUGUUAGCCAGAAUGUAUACAUUUCAAUUGAGCUGGAAUCAUCUGGAAAAGCAGUAAUUGCUCUUAACGAGUGAAUCGUCAAGUUAAUCCCUCAUACCAGAGAACAUUUCUACCUCGCCACUAUUUUUUAGUAUGAAGUAUUUUUUAUUUGUUGACACGUGUCUAUCAAUCCUUUUCAACUGCAACAGAGCCUAUUGUGUUAUGCUCAGAAACUGAAGAGUGGUAGUAUAUCUCUUCUUAUAUUUCCUUUGUAUGGGUUUGGGUAGCACUUAGGAAGAUAAUAAGUGGCAAGAAAAGUGCUAAUCAUAUUUCAAGUAAAAAACUAAACACAGUUACAAGCAUAUAUAUUUUAAUCAAAUUUUAUAAAUGUCCUAUUUAUUAAGUAUUUAAUUUAAAUUAAAACAAAUUAAAUGUAAAAAUAAUUUAAGGAGCUUGGACACAUUAAGAUCUCAGGCUCCCAGAUACAGUUUGACUCCAAGGAGUUCUGACACACCCAGGAUCUCAGGAUCCCAGGAUUCCAGAAUUUAGGAUCACAUGGACAACUGGACUAUGAGGAGUUCUGAAACAAGCAGGAUUACAGGAGGGACAGGCCCCAGUCAGACACAGUGAGGGCAGGCAGCACUACAGAUAACCAGAUGUCAAGAGGCAAGCAUAACAACAGAAGCAACAGACACCAAGUUUACUUGGCAUCACCAGAACACAGUUUUCCCACCAUAGCAAGUCUGGAUACACCAUCACAUCCCGAAAAGCAAGAUUCAUAUCUAAAAUCACUUCUAAUAAUGAUGAUAGAGGUAGAGGUCUUUAAGAAGGGCAUAAAUAACUCUCUUAAAGAAAUACAGGAGAAUACAGGUAAUCAGGUGAAGGAAUUUAAUGAAACCAUUCAGGAUGGAAAAAAAAAACAGAAAUAGAAACAAUAAAUAAAUCACAAACAGAGACCUUGGAGAUAGAACACCCAGGAAAGAGAUCAGGAGUCAUAGAUGCAAGCAUUGCCAACAGAAUAGAAGAGAUAGAAGAGAGGAUCUCAGGUACAGAAGAUACCAUAGAAAACAUUGACACAACAGUCAAAGAAAAAUGCAAAAUGAAAAAAGCUCCAAAAACUAAACAUCCAGGAAAUCCAGGAUGCAAUGAGAAGCCAAAAUCUGAGGAUAAUAGGUAUAGAAGAGAGCAAAGAUUCCCAACUUAAAGGCCCAGUAUCUUCAACAAAAUUAUAGAUGAAAACUCCCAUAACCUAAAGAAAGAUGUGCCCAUGAACAUAAAAGAAGCUUAUAGAAUUCCAAAUAGGAUCAGAAAAGAAAUUCCUCCCAUCAUAUAAUAAUCAAAACACCAUAUGCACUAAACAAAAAAAGUUAUUAAAAGCAGUAAGGGGAAAAGGUCAAGUAACAUAUAAAAUCAGACCUACCAGAAUUCCACCAGAGUUCUUACCAGAGUCUAUGAAAACCAGAAUAUCCUGCACAGAUGCCAUACAGACCCUAAGAGAACACAAAUGCCAUCCCAGACUACUAUACCCAGCAAAACUCUCAAUUAACAUAGAUAGAGAAACCAAGAUAUUCCAUGCCAAAACCAAAUUUACACAAUAUCUUUCCACAAAUCCAGCCAUACAAAGGAUAAUAGAUGGAAAACUCCAAGAUAAAGGAGGGAAACUACACCCUAGAAAAAGCAAGAAAGUAAACUUCUUUCAACAAGUCCAAAAGAAGAUAGCCACACAAACAUAAUUCCACCUCUAACAACAGAAAUAACAGGAAGCAACAAUCGUUUUUCCUUAAUAUCUCUUAAUAUCAAGUGGACUCAAUUCCCCAAUAAAAAGACCUAGACUAACAGACUGGAUACAUAAACAGGACCCAGCAUUUUGCUGCACACAGGAACUACACCUCAGUGACAAAGACAGACACUACCUCAGAGUAAAGGGCUGGAAAACAAUUUUCCAAACAAAUGUUUCCAAAAAACAAGCUGAAGUAGUCAUUAUAAUAUCAAAUAAAAUCGACUUUCAACCAAAAGAUAAGAAAGACACUUCAUACUUACAAGAAGAUUGAAAUAAUCCCAUGCAUACUCUCAGAUCACCACAGACUAAGGCUGGUCUCCACUAACAACAAAAACAAUGGAAAGCCCACAUACACGUGGAAACUGAACAAUGCUCUACUCAAUGGUAAGUUGGUAAAGGAAAAAAUAAAGUAAGAAAUUUAUGACUUUUUAGAAUUUAAUGAAAAUAAAGGCACAUCAUACCAAAACUUAUGGGACACAAUGAAAGCAGUGCUAAGAGGAAAACUCAUAGCUUUAAGUGCCUACAAAAAGAAACUGGAGAGAGCAGCUUGACAGCUCAUCUGAAAGCUCUAGAACAAAAAGAAGCAAGCAUACUUAAGAGAUAUAGACAGUUGGAAAUAAUCAAACACAUGGCUGAAAUCAACCAAGUAGAAACAAAAAGAACUAUACAAAGAAUCAACAAAAUCAGGAGCUGUUUCUUUGAGAAAAUAAACAAGAUAGAUAAACCCUAAACCAGACUAACCAGAAGGAACAGAGAAUGUAUCCAAAUUAAUAAAAUCAGAAAUGAAAAGGGAGACAUAAAAACAGAAACUGAAGAAAUUAAAAAAAAAUCAUCAGAUCCUACUACAACAAAAUUGGGAAAUCUGGAUGGAAUGAACAAUUUUCUAGACAGAUACCAGGUAACACGUACGAAGGUUAAAUCAGGAUCAGAUAAAUCAUCUAAAUAGUUCCAUAACUCCUAAAGAAAUAGAAGAAGUCAAUAAAAGUCUCCCAACCAAAAAAAAGCCUAGGACCAGAUGGAAUUAGUGGAGAAUUCUAUCAGACUUUCAAAGAAGACCUAAUAUCAAUAUUUUUCAAACUAUUCCACAGAAUAGAAACAGAAGGAAUACUACCCAAUUCGUUCUUUGAAGACACAAUUACGCUUAUACCUAAACCAAACAAAGACCAAACAAAGAAAGAAAUCUUCAGACAUAUUUUCCUUAUAAACAUCGAUGCAAAAAUACACAAUAAAAUUCUCUCAAACCGAAUCCAAGAACACAACAAAAUGAUCAUUCACCAGGAUUAAGUAGGCUUCAUCCCAGGUAUGCAGGCAUGGUGCAGUAUACAGAAAUCUAUCAAUGUAAUCCACUACAUAAACAAACUCAAAGAAAAAAAUCACAUUAUCCUUUCACUAGCAUUUGAGAAAAUUCAACAUCCCUUCAUGUGACAAGUCUUGAAAAGAUCAAAAAUUAAAGGCCCAUACAUAAACACAGUAAAAGCAAUAUAUAGCAAAGCAGUUAGUAGACAACAUUAAACUAAAUAGAAACUUGAAGCAAUCCCACCAAAAUCAGGAACUAGAUAAGGCUUCCCACUCUCUCCCUACCUGUUAAAUACAGUACUUGAAGUUGUAGCUAGAGAAACUAGACAACAAAAGGAUGCCAAAUACAAAUUGGAGAGAAAGAAGUGAAAAUUUCACUAUUUGCAGAUGAUAUGAUAGUAUAAUUAAGUGACCCCCAAAAUUCCACCAGAGAAGUCUUACAGCUGAUAAACAACUUCAGCAAAGUGGAUGGACAUAAAGUUAACUCAGACAAGUCAGUAGCCUCUUCUACUCAAAUGAUAAACUGGCUGAGAAAGAAAUCCUUCACAAUAGUCACAAAUAACAUAAAAUACCUAGGUGUGACUCUAACAAAGAAAAUGAAAGAUCUGUAUAACAAGUACUUUACAUCUUUGAAAAAAGAAAUUGAAAAAUCUCAGAAGAUGGAAAGAUCUUCCAUGCUCAUGGAUUGGCAGGAUUAAUAUAGUAAAAAUGGCCAUCUUGCCAAAGGCAAUUUAUAGAAUCAAUGCAAUCCCCAUCAAAAUUCUAAUUCAAUUCUUCACAAAGUAAGAAAGAGCAAUUUGCAAAUUCAUUUAGAUAACAAAAACCCAGGAUAGUGAAAACUACUCUCAACAAUAAAAGAUCUUCUGGGGAAAUCACCAUCCUGGAACUCAAGCUGUACUACAGAGCAAUUGUGGUAAGAUAAAACAAACAAAACAAAACACCUCUAUGGUGUUGGUACAGAGACAUGCAAGAAGAUAAAUGGAACAGAAUUGAAGACCCAGAAAUGAACCCACACAUAUAUGGUCACUUGAUCUUUGACAAAGGAGCUAAAACCAUUCAGUGGAAAAAAGACAGCAUUUUCAACAAAUGGUGCUGGCUCAACUGGAGGUCAGAGUGUAGAAGAAUACAAAUUGACCCAAUAUUAUUUCCUUGUACAAAUAUCAAGUCCAAGUAGAUCAAGGACCUCCACAUAAAACCAGAUACUGUGAAACUUAUAAAGGAGAAAGUGGGGAAGAGCCUCGAACACAUGAGCACAGGGGAAAUUUUCUUGAACAGUUCACCAAUGGCUUAUACCUAAGAUCAAGAAUUGACUAAUGGGACCUCAGAAAAUUGCAAAGCUUUUGUAAGGCAUAAGACAUUGUCAAUAGGACAAAAGAGCAACCAGUAGGUUGGGAAAAGAUCUUUACCAAUCUUACAUCUGAUAGAGGUUUAAUAUCAAAUAUAUAAAAGGAACUCAAAAAGUUAGACUCCAGAGAGAAUCAAAUAAACCUGUUCAAAAUGGGGCUCAGAGCUAAACAAAGAAUUCUCAACUGAGGAAUACUGAAUGGCUUGGAAGCACCUAAAGAAAUGUUCAACAUCCUUAGUCAUCGGGGAAAUGCAAAUCAAACCAACUCUGAGAUUUUACCUCACACCAGACAGAAUGGCUAAAAUCAAAACCUCAGGUGGCAGCAGAUGCUGGCAAGAAUGUGGUGAAAGAGGAACACUCUUCCAUUGCUGGUGGGAUUGCAAGCUGGAACAACCAUUCUGGAAAUCCGUUUGGUGGUUCCUCAGAAAAAUGGACAUAGUACUAAUGGAAGAUCCAGGAAUACCACUCCUGGACAUACACCCAAAAGAUUCUCCAACAUGUAAUAAGGACACAUGCUCCACUAUGUUCUUAGAAGCCUUAUUUAUUAAGAGCCAGAAGCUGGAAAGAACCUAGAUGUCCUUCAACAGUGGGAUGGACACAGAAAAUACAGUGGAUUAUUACUCAGCUAUUAAAAACAAUGAAUUUAUGAAAUUUGCAAUCAAAUGGAUGGAACUUGAAAAUAUCAUCCUGAGUGAGGUAAUCCAAUCACAAAAGAACAACAUGGUAUACAUGCACUGAUAAUUGGAUAUUAUCCCAAAGGCUCGCUGUACCCAAGAUACAAUUCACAGACCACAUGAGGCCCAAGAAGUAGGAAGGCCAAAGUGUGGAUGCUUAGGUCCUUCUUAGAAAGGGGAACAAAUACAGAGGUGGAUGCAUGCAGUCAGCCAUUAGACAGAGCACAGGGACCCCAAUGGAGGUUUUAGAGAAAUGACUGAAGGAGCUGAAGGGGUUUGAAACCCCAUAGAAAGAACAGUGUCAACCAACCAGACCCCUCAGAGCUCCCAGGGACUAAGCCACCAACCAAGGAGUACAUAUGGAAAGACCCAAGACUCCAGCCACAUAUGAAAUAGAGGAUGACCUUGUCAGACAUCAGUGGGAGGAGAGGCCCUUGGUCCUGUGAAGGCCCUUGGCCCUUGGAUGGAUGAGCCAGUGUAGAGCAAUUUGAGGGUGGGAAGGCAGGAGUAGGUAGAUGGGUGGGAGAACACCCUAUAGAAGCUGGGGGAGUGGGGAUGGGAUAGAAGUUUUCAGGGGGGAGGGGCAGGUAAAGGGGCUAACAUUUAAAAUGCAGAUAAAGAAAAUAUCCAAUAAAAUUAAAUAAAAUAAUUUAAUUUAAAUUUAAAUAUUUUAUUAAUAGCCUUGUAUAUGGGGUAUAAAUAUAUUUUUUAAGGUUUUACUUGGUCCACACACAGAUACACAUAUAUGUAAAUUCACUUUCAAAGAAAGAAAUAUGAAAAGAUUAACAAUUUAGAGAGUAAUUAAUAAAGUCAAAUUAUAAAGAAAAGUAGUGUCUGCUACUUUUAUAAACAUGUUGAGGUCCACUAGAAGUGAUUAUACAUAAGGAAAUUGGGUGGUCAUGAACACAGGACCUGGGGUCUGGCAAACUCUUGAUGUUGUUAUUAUAUGAGCAUGAUUGACUUAAGAAGUUUUAGGGAACUGUCUCCUGGGAAGAGCUUAUUUUUGUACAUGACUACUACCUCCUUGCAGUGCCAGCUGUCUGUUCCUGAGAUGGAUAACCCAAAUGUCAUUUCCAAGGAAGAUGGCUUCCAAAAAGAGAUAAAGAGGGCAGUUGAGGAAUUGAGAGUUAAGUGGGAGAUCUAGGAUUGAAACAUCAGGUACUAACUCCAUCCCACUUCUUACUUGGGAGACUGUCUCUAAUAUGCAGUAUUGGGAAUGUGGGGGUGCGGAGGACUGCAAAGAGUAUCCAUCUCUGGAGUAGGCAUUUGUGCUAUUUGCAGUCUUUAGAGGAAAAUGUUUCCAGUUAGCUGUGAGAAACGCUUGCUCUUUCUGUUUCAGAGGUCAUUAUGAGUGAGGUAGGUGUGGGAUCUAUUCCUUUUGGCAACAGCAUCAUGGAAGGAAAGGGAGAGCCAGGAUUAUCUCACAAAUAGAAAGGAACAGCAAGUUUUACACCCACUGCUUUUUAAAAUGAUAGCAGUGAAGUCUGACCUGAAUUGAGUAAGGCACUUGAGAUGACUCUGCUGGCAUUCUGAAACGUAAUCUUAACCCUCUCACAUGAGUAGUUCUCGAGACACCACACCACCAAGGAAAAGAGAACAUAACACAAAGGAUGCUACAUCUGAGCAGAAAGCACAUAGAAGUAAUGGAGGUUCCCCUCAACUCCAUUUAUGUGCCUUGGUGAGUACUAUCAGCAUUUAAAAGAGGAAGAGAACCUUUCCUCAGGUUUCAGAUCUAGUCUUGGAUGGUAGAUUUCAUUUUCAAGUCAGGCUGAUAUUUUAAGUAUUGACUAAAACUGACUUUAGCACAAAAGUAUUCUUCAGGAAUAAAGAUUGAAUAAAACAUGUUUGUUCCUUGAGGAUAUUAUGCUGUUUUCCAGAAUUUUAAUAAUGCAUACAAAGCUUUAGAAACUUGGUAUAAGGGGUUCAUGAUGUCCUUAGGAUGGUAGGAUGCUUGCCCAGCAUAUUUUUUGCCCUCCCUUCAACUCCCAGCACCUCAGAAAGUGGACAUGGUACUGCACAGGUGUAAUUCUAGCACUAAGGAGGUAGAUUCAGGAGAAACACAAGUACAAAGUCCUCUGCAGCUUAAGUGAAUUCUAGGCAACCUGGAUAACAUAAGAACACCCUUCCCCCAAGACACACACACACACACACACACACACAGACAGACACACACACACACGCACGCACCACAUAAUCCUGGUGAGAUGACUCACUGUAACCUGGUGAUCUGUGUUAGAUCCCUAGAACAUAGUAGAAGAACCGACUACCACAAGGUUGUUCUCCAACUUUCACAUGUUUGUGAUGGUACAUACAUACACCCCAAAUAAAUAGAAGAUAAUAAAGAUAAAUAUAAACCAAUACAGCACUUUGCUUAGCAUUUAAAUUUUUUUACUGGUGACUUUAUAGUGGCUCUUCUUAAAUGGCAAUUCUUACUCAGUUGUUUUUGACUGUGAGGAUGUGUUAUGUCAGAAAUGGUACUUUAGAACUUGUAGAUUGAAGAGAUCUAAGAGCUAAUUCAGCCAAGUGAGAAACUGUGUGUACUCUCCCCAUCACCUCGUCUAUAGACAUGUUAAAAAUAGUGAUGUAUGUGCAUGACAUAUUAUUUAUUUAGUCUCCCUAGACUGAAUGUGAAUGUGGAUUUACAGACCCCUCACAAUAAAUUCUGCUACCCUCAGGGGUCCAAGACCUACUGCUUGAAAUCCACAGAGCAGGACAGGCUUAUGAUUGAUGACAACGAGGAGGGCCUGGGGCACAUCUGCUAGUCUUCCAUGGCUUUCAUCCUCACAGCCCUCACACAGCCUCCUUGAAAUGCCACACUCUGCUGUGUUUACUGGAAAUGUUUUCUGUAUAAACUUCAAAAAGUCAGUUAUAACUCUCUACAGCAGAAACAUUUUUUCAUAAAAAAAUGAAGUGUACCUUGGAUGAAGAUUUAUUCAUCAAAGAAAAAUGAUUUUCGAUUUAGGAUCUACUAGGUCUUUAAAUGUGCAUAAUAGUACUUUAAGUGGGAGGUGAAUAUACACUUGUUUAAUGCAUAAUUUUCUAUACUUUUCUGAUAAAAUAUCAAUCAGUACAUUAAGGCAAAAGAUUCCCACAUAUAGUACCUAAAGACACAUAACUUUGUGUUCUCAUCACUAUGUAUACAUUGUAGUUGCAAUACAACAACAAAGCCUACCAAUGAAGACAGUAAUGCUACACACUGCAUAGCCAAGUAUCACUGUAAGUUCACUUUCUAGAGCCUUCUGGAAUUUCUUUCUCUCCACUGAUUUUUGUCAAAGCUUAUGAUUCAAGAUGUAAGUGUAUAUAUCUAUCCAAUUUUGUUUCCUACCUCACCCAUUUUUUAUUGUCUUCUUUUUGGUUAAUCCUAGGAAGAGUCCUCCCUCCACCCCCAGAAAUGCCUUGAUGUGGAUUGUCUGAAUAUUGUUUGUAUUUUGAUGUUUGUUUUGUUUCCUCAAGCAGAAUUGCCCCUGACAAGCAACAUCACAUACUCAGAUCAUCUCAUGUGAACCUUCUUCCCAUUUAACUGGUCAAUCAGGCUAGAGCCUGUGAUUGGGCAGUGGAGAGGAAAGGUGGGACUGAAUGCUUGAGAGUGUAUACAGGUAGAGGAGAGAAGAGGACAAGAGGGAAAGGAUGGAGGACAAAGCCAGAAGAGGAGGAGGAAGGCAUGAUGGACUAGAAACGCAUGGGCAGGAGAAACUGCAAGUAAGAAGGGGACUUAUAGCUGGAAAAUAUGUUAGUAUAGUGUUAGAUCUGACCAAUCUAGGCAUAUAGCUUACAAUUACAAUAACUGGAUUGUGUGUUUUUAUAUGGGUUUAUUGGGGUUGGAAAUUCCAACAACAGUGCCUUAGAUAAUUAUUUUAAAUCUUUCAUAUAUGAAUCUGCACUCAUGUCUAUCCACUUUUUUUUUUGCACCAACAAUACCUUUCUUCCUUUCUUUUUAUCAUGGAACAACUUUCCUGUGAGUUUGUCCUCCUUUGCUUUCUGUGCACACUUUUGUCACAACCAGUUUCAAUCAAUGCUGUUCUGAUUUCCAGCCCUACUAUGUAGCUGUCUUCUACUUUUUGGGUUCUUUUUCCUUCCACCAUCCUCUAACCUCUUUCUACCCUUUAAUCCCCCUAAACACUAGAUAAAAGAGAAAAAAGUUAGAAAAGAAAGGAAAUAUUCCUGAAUAAAGUCAGGAGUCAGAAAGGGAGCAACAUUAUCAUUAGACCAUUUUUUGCCAAUUAGGGGCAUUGAGUUCCUUGAGACAAGUUUGAUCUUCACAAUUAGGAUAUCUAAUUUCUUUUCUUCCUCCUCUUCCUCUUCCUCUUCCUCUUCCUCUUCCUCUUCCCCUUCCUCUUCCUCUUCCUCUUCUUCUUCUUCUUCUUCUUCUUCUUCUUCUUCUUCUUCUUCUUCUUCUUCUUCUUCUUCUUUUCCUCCUCCUCCUUCCCCUCCUCCUUCUUCCUCUUCUUGUUUCUUCUUUGUAACAACUACUUAACAAACUAAGACCAAAAGCAACCAAUCAACAAACAACAACCCAACAACUGUCUUGGAGCCCUAGCAUUUAUAUACCCUCUCAAAAGUUCCCAUAAUUCCAAAUAUCACACAAUUGCAGAAACUAUCUGGAGCUGGCAAAAAUCACACCCUCACUAGAGCAAGAGACAAAUCACAGUUGCAGUGGACAAUGUGAAACAGGCCUAUAUUUCAUACCUGAGAUUUAAAAAAUCAAUUUCUAAUAACAUUUCUAUGUAUUUAUUUAAAUAAACCAAAAAUUCCAAAAUUCUCAUUCUACCAAUAUUUCAUUGAAAAGUUCUUAUCACAAAGACAAGUUAUGUAGUAUCUAGAUCUGAGGUUAGCCCACUACUUCUCCUUCACUGACUCUUACAGUAGUGUGUAAAAACUGAUCUUCCUUAAAUAUUAUCUUUGGUCUGAUUCCUUUGAUCCUUUAUUCAGGAAGAUUUGCUCAUAUACAGGAUAGAACACAGCAAAAGAAAGGCUGAGUUCUUGAGCUAGAAGUCUGAGAAACUAGAAACCUAAACAUGAGGCUGCAGAAGAGUAAGCACCAUGGUUGAUGAGACACAGUUUGAUAGAGGACUUAAGAGCAAUACCUUCUUGAGAUCAAAAGUGUCUAGGGAAACUUCCUGGGAAAGGUGACACUUAAUUAGAGACACUUGUCGGAUGAAUCAUCCAGAGAGCAGGGUAAUGUAAUGAAAAGGACCAUGAAGGCAGAAGAGCUCAUGUAAAGGGGUUCAGUGUCAGAAGGGAAGAAGGGAGGGGAAGAGACAGAGAGAAAAAGUCAGAGAGCUAGAGACAGAGACAGAGAAAGAGAGAUAAGGCACAUGCACACAGAGAUACAUACAUACAUACAUACAUACAUACAUACAUACAUACACAGACACAUACAGAUACAAACAUACAUACAGACACAGAGACACACAUAGAGACAGACACAUACAUAGACACAGUCAGACAGACAGACACAGAGACAGACACUGACAGACACAGAUAGAUGCAUAGACUCCUAGAAACACACAGACAGACAGACAAACAGAGAUAGACAUACACAGACAGACAGACAUAUAUACAGACACACAAACACAUGGACACAUAGACACACAAAGAGAAACAGAUAGGCAAACAGAUACAGACACAGAGAGAGACAGAAUGUCAGAGACAGACAGACACACAGAUAGAUGGACACACAGAGGAAAUGAACCAAGAGAGAGGGAGGGAGGAAAGGAAUAAGAAGAAGAAGAAGAAGAAGAAGAAGAAGGAGGAGGAGGAGGAGGAGGAGGAGGAGNGAGAGAGAGAGAGAGAGAGAGAGAGAGAGAGAAGUUUGGGUGGAGUGUGAUGAAGAGAGUGGAAAUAUCACCCCAAGGAGGUCAUGUCACAUCAUGGCAGGCUUUGUGGGAUAAUUCGAGUUUAGAGUGUUUAAUGGUGCAGAAAUAUCAUAAAGAACAUAGAUGUUAAUUUUUCUGAGGUUGUGGAAAGGGUUGGAAAUGUGGCUAAGGUAGCUGAAGAGCUUCAGGAGGCCAUGGCAUCAAUUCUGUGUAGUGUAAUUGCUAUACAGGUACCUGGCAUGAGGGAAUGGUGUUUUCUUUAUGCAGCAGUCAGUUCUCUCUUUCCAACUACACUGUCAUGGAUGUUGGUGAUGUGGAAAUCACUGUUAAAGGAGGGAGGGAGGGAGAGGAAGAAGAAAAGAAUGGAGAGGAGAAGGGGAGUGGAAGGAGAGUUGAAAUAAUGCCACAUGGGAAGAAAUAAAAUGCUUUGCAGAUUGACUGGAAGCCAGAGGUAGGUAUAACAUCUGGUCUUAGAAGUUCAUAAGACUAGGGCAACCACCAUAUGGUGGUGCCAUUCAGGCCACUGGAAAGUACUCAAGUAGGAAUGUGCUCUCCCUAACAGUGGAAAGGAUUGUGGUUUCAGUUUUACUUUACUGUUGUCUUCCAAAAGAAAACAUACUAUAAAGGCAGGAGGCACCUAGAAAGGUAUUGGUUGUUUAUAAACAGCUAGCAAAAGAUAGAGAUAAUAAGGAAUUUUUUGUACUAGGAACUUUAUCAGAGAUUAUGACUGAAUGACCCACAAUAUAAAACAUGGGGACUAUGGUUCUGGAGGAACCUCUUUUUCUCAAGAGACAGAAACCACAGAUCUGGAUUGGUGGCUCUUUAUAUUUGAUAUCAAGGAUUCUGAGGCAAAAAUCACAUCCUUACAUCCUUAUGGCUACAUGUAUUUCUUCAAUGAUGGAGAACUUGCCUACAUACAUUUGGUCCUACAGUUGAAUCUUGGCUCUACAAAAGAAUAAACAAAUGUAAAGCACAGAUACAUUAAAUGAGCAGACUUUAAAAAAGAAUCACACAUACAGUAUCUGAAGCCACAUGCCUUUGUGUUAUCACCAUGUUUAAGAGUGAUAUCAGUCUUCAGAGGGACUAAGGAGAGCAUGGUGAAGUAAAAGAAUCCUUAGAAGAGUUUUAUGCAAAAUUUAAGGGCCUUUACUUUCUCAGGAUCCUGCCAAGGGCUGUGCACAUAACCAGCUCUGAGGUCUGUAAGUCAGAAAAAAAUUUAUAGUAGUAAAUACUGACAUGUGAAAUAUAAGGAAAGAAAACAACAGCUUUUCAAUUUUUAUCAGUUUCCUCCUCCUUUUGUAUUUUAUGACCCACAUAAAGUUUGCAGCACAAAUCACAUUUUUGCAAGAUCAUUGCUUUGAGGACUAUAUGAAGCAAUAGGUUAUAAAAGGCUCUCUCUCUCUCUCUCUCUCUCUCUCUCUCUCUCUCUCUUUCUCUCUCUUUUUAAAGCCAGAACUGCAUUUAAGCCACUUUCAAGAAUUCCCGUAUAUUGCUACAUACUUGACCACUUUCAGUGACAUUUUGGAUAUUGCACAGGGAGAAGUUUCACAGUUCUUCUAGAGAGAUAAAUUCAAGAAAAAAAAUGAACCAUUUUUGUGUGUUAUGAAUAUAAGAUUUCAGUUCACAUUCUCACUCCCCAUCAUUUAUCAAGUCCUAAAUCUCUGCCCAUGCCAACAUAUUAUCAAUAUAUUAUACAACCUGCCUUAUGAAAAGACUAUUUCCACACAAUUAAGAACGUGAAUUUUAUUUUGCCAACUUAGAACUAUUUUUUAAGAAAUUUCAUUUAGUUGUAUCUUAUAGUCUGACAUUUGUUUCCUGAAAAUCUGUAAAUUCUUGCCAGUUUAUGAAAUACUAUAGCAUUUACAAGGGUCAGAGUUUAUCUAUGGCGAAAUUUCUGUAAACACAGAAUGGUCAACUUCCCAACAGUGUCUUCUAAGACGGUGGCCAACUCCCUUCUCUGUGUUAGUCAUGGUUAGUCACACAGGGAGGGACUUAACUCUGCUUACAAAAAAAGUGAUUGUUCCACUAUCCUCAGGGAUGGGGUUAGUCACUAACACCAGGGUGCUGCCUGGGGCAUUCCACUUCAUUCGUGCUUCCCCCAGGGCAGUAUUGUACUCAGACAAAAGUGUCAGCAGAGAUCCUUGAUUCAGGCACAAGGGCAAUUAUUGCUCAGGUCAACUCACCCAGUCCUCGGAACCACCUGGAAUUAUUGGCUGUAUUUUAGAGAUUACAAAGCUGAAGUUUGGAAGGAAAAGACAUUUUCCUAGGGUCAACCAGAAUUGGGUUUUGAACUGAGUUUGGCUCGAGAGUCUGCUUUCAUAAUUAUCACACCAAUGCCUUCCAGAUUUUGUUCCCAAAGGAAGAAGAACUGGGGCAUCCUACCCCAGUCACAGCAUCUCCUUGGCUGUUGUUUUGUAUACUGAAGUUCCAUGAGAAACUUACACACAGGGGGCAACAGCCACACUAUUAAAACUACAGGAAACUUUUGAAUCAAGACACCCCUCUGCACCUCUGAGGUACAGCAUGUGGAUGCUGUGUUGCUUACUUUAGGCCCCCCAAAUAAAUGGUCAACUCAAAUAAUCCUGCUGGAUUAUAUCAGUAAACUGUGGGUUAGGUCAAUUUAGGCCUGCCAAAGUGACCAAGUGAGAAGGCAGUAUAGCUUAACUAACCUUUUGGUGUUCCACAUGCUCACCACUACAGUAUAAAUAUGAAGGCCAUGGAUGUCUAGUGAACUUAGCAGUAUAGAGGUUAUUGAAGAAUAGAUAAAAACUUUAAAACAUCCUUGUCCCAGCUGGGCUUUGUUCAUAGUGUGGGCAUUUGGGGCAUGAACUUCUGUUUGGGUGCAACAACUCAAGAGCACACAGUCUAAGAUGACAGAGAAGGGAGCCAAGAGAGGUACAGAAACCUAAGACAUCAACCAGGUGGUUUAGUUAAAAUCAUAAACAAUGACCAGGACAGGAAGACAGAGGAAAGAAACUACCAUUCGCAUAGGCUGAAGGAGGAAGUGUUUAUCUGGAAACUUUCAAUGUAAAGAUUUCAACCAUAGCCUUGCCCUGCUGGGGCUUAUACAUAAGAUGUGCUCACACUCAGUUUCAAGUUUGAUUUAUAGAGAGUAAAUGAUUUAUUCUAGAAAAAUGUCACUGAGGCAAAUCAAUAAAUUAUAUCAUAUACUUUUUUAUAUAUUACUGCUUUUGUAUAGUUGUAAUGACACAUUGAAAUAAUUAAAAUAUUCACUGAUCAUCUAUUGUACAUUGCACUAGACAGAGGUUAUAGGGAGAGUGGACCACACUAAAUUCCUGUUCUGACCACAUUUAUAGUGUAGUGGGAAAGGAUGGUUAAAAAUAAAUAAACAUCCAAUUUAGAAUGGCAGUUUCAGAUACUUGGAAUGAAAAACAUUACUAAUCAGGGCACUGAGACUAGCUUUCUUAUAGGCAGCGAAGAGGGACAUUCUAUACAGAGUGGCUAGGGAAUUCCUCAGAUGGCAUAAACUGUGAAAUUGUACAGAAACAACACAAAACAGAAAAAUUUUAAAACUAAGUAGUAAUUUAAGGGAAGGAACAUUCCUGCAUUCCUUCUAAGAGGUACAGCACACACAAAGACAUCAAGGCACCUUCAUUGCUUGAGUGUGCUUGGAGCAGAGAGUGGGCACAGAGGAACAGACACAUAAACAACAUGGAGAUGAAGUCAAUGUGGUGGGCAAGCUGGUUAUUCCCAGAUCUUUGUAAGCCACAAGGACUGUGACUUGAAUUUGAAUGCUAGAGGCAUCAUGAGGAGAGAAAGGUUGCAAUAUGACAUUUCAAUUACUUGUGUCUAUGUGUGGAGUUUCAAAACCGAUGGGGAUGGUCCUGCCAUUAUUCAAGUGAGGGGGAUGCUGACUUCGCAUCGCCAUGAAAUUAGUAAAACAUGAAGAUUCUGGGUGUAUUCUGCUGGAAAGUAAGUGUAGAUUGUAGGGGGAAAAACCAACAAAUCAAAGAGGACUAAGGAAAUGGAAUUGUUGUGUAUAGAGUGGGAAAGACUGGUUCAUAAAGAUGUUUGAAAGGUUUUUUUCCCCUUGAGACAAAAUGUUAGCCCUGACUAUCUUCAAACUUGCUACAGUUCUGCUAACUCUGCCUUCUAAAUGCCACAGUUAGGGAGGUGUGCCCUCACAUCCUUAUUAUAGUGUUUUCUUCUUAUGAGGGUGCAAAAGUAAUUGGAGGAUCUCUAUUCUGUGACUUUAUGUAUCUAUACCAAUUACCUCACUGAAGACCUUACUGCCACAGUGUGGGGAGAGGCUUCACCACAUGAAUAUUACAUGGAGCAAAAUUUAGUUCCCAAUAAGAGACAAUGUACAAAAGAAGAGACUGUCAAACUGGACAGCCUUUCACAGCCUUUUACAGCCUUUCACAGGCAUUAGCAAACUUGAAAGAAAUACAAAGAUCUAAAGUGGGGCAUUAUGAAGAUUAGUAAACACGGACUGUUUUAAUUACUAACAUUGUAGGAUGACUAUGAUGAGACUUGGGAAUGGCCACUGAUUUUAGCAAUGUGAAUAACUUGGUGAUACGAAGAACUUGUUUGUGCUAUAGUACAAAUGAUUGCCCCAUGGCCAUGAAUUUCACCAGAACAUGGGAAGUAAGAUAAUUAUUCAUUAAUGGUGGAGAAUAAUCACUUCUGUAAAGAAGUAAUCCCAGUGAGACUUUGUGGAACAAAGAAGAGAACCAUGGAAAACAGUGUACUUCCGACCAGGUACUUUUUGAGGAUACACUUGAGAUGAUGAAUAGAAGGAUAGAAGGAAUGAUUGGAGGAAGACAGCAGAGAUGGAACACAGGUCUGCUGGCCUUCUGGCCAUGUGGUUCCCUCACUAUAGAAGUGGAGAACUACUGAAUAGUUGUGAGACCUAAAACAGAACAUCAGCAAUUGUUGACACUUAAGUCCCCAGAAAGUAUCUCUCAAAGACCUCUUCUCUGGUUGAAAUUAGAAAAAAAAUGAUUCAGUCUGUUUUAUCUUCUCAGAUUUUUGGUUUUGCCUUGCACUAGAUACUGCAGUUCAGAAUUGUGCAAUUGGUGGCGUGUCUACAGGGCAGAGACCUUUGCUCUUGAUGGGUAUCCUUCUCUAGUCUGCUUAUCAUGGCACAGAACUGAGUGGUAUCUCAGCUAGACACUGAGUUUUGCUCAAUGCUUUACACGGGAACUAAUCACAUAAAGGGUUAGGAUCUUAGCCUUAUGAAGACAUCAUGUCUUCUCAUGACACAGAAUGGAAAGUCAUGCUAGAGGUCCCAGAUCUGUGGAGGGUACACAACAUGCAGUAGAGUCAUAAAACAUGUUAAUUCUCUUACAUUUUCCUCUUGGAAGUUUCCUGUAUUUUCACAGAAAGUCGGGUCUGAUGACCUAAACUAAGCAUGCCGACAUCAAAUUUCCAGAUUCUGGGAUACUCACAUUAUUUUGCUACUUAAAACCACAUUGAGCUUCCAACAGUUAUUCAGAAGAGCCCCUGUGCAGGCAAGUAUCCCAUCAGUUUAUGGCAGGCUCUGAAAAAAUUUACUUGAAUGGGAGUUCUGUUGCCUUUUGAGCAGAGUGGUUGUCUGAAACAAAUUUACUGUACAGUAAGUUGUAUUUCCUGAGGUAACUAAGUUCCCGUCUAAUGGCCUUAGAGUGCAGCUCCCAGGAGUCAUAAUGCUUUUUGCACACAAGCCUGCAAGUGCUCAGUGCAGACUUGGGCAAAUAAACCCCUCUGUGCACAAACGGUUCUAGAAAUCUCUUGCAGACAAUCCAAACAACAUAGCCUUCCCACUCUUUACCUUUCCCUUAGCUUAUACUUCUGAGUUUUUGUUAACAUUUAAAAAAGAUAUUUAAAGCUGCAUUUUGUUCACCUUGUAAAAUGAAAGAGUACAUUGUACAGGCACUGGAGGUACACGUCAGUGCUUUUAUCAAGUCAGGGGCCUGCUCUGCAGCAUUAAUUGGAAACAUGUGUUGAAAAUUCAGGGCAGGUUUCUCAGUGUCUCUUUAAUUUAGUAGAAUAAAAUAAGAACUAAACUCACAUUUCUUUAUGAGGCCAGUCUGUUGGAGUUGUUCUAUUAGCAGGUCUGAUGGAUGACUCUGAUGGACAAUACUGGUACCUGUGCUUAGGCUGCUGGGAUGCUGGUAGUUGUUCUAUUUAAGACCUUAUUCAUGGUUCUACUACACUUUCAGGCACCAUUAUAGAGGACUUGUUGUAACUGAUUCUCUGAAAGUUAGCUGAGGGAUGCUGAUAGAAAGCAUAAUUGAUUUCAAAGACACCGGAUGACCGACACAUGAAAGAUUUUCAAAUAGCCAUAUGUCAGAAGCUAAAUCUGCAAAGUCUCACCAGUAUGACUGCCUAAACAUGACCUGAAGAAAGAGAAGAACAGAAGACAUGACAAAAUGGACAGGGGAAGGACAGUGAAGCCUCACCCUACACUAAGACCUACAGGAAACAAAUGAGUAUGGAAAGUGAGAGAAUUAGUCUUCUCCAGGGAAGAGCACAUCAAUUGGUUGUAUGUUAUGUGUAGCUUUUUGCUACCCCACCUAUGCUCCAGGAACGGACCUAGCUACCAGACCCCUCCCAGCUUCCCAUGAAUCCAUGCAUAAAACACACACACACAGUUCAUUUUCUAUCUUUCUUUCUUUCUUUCUUUCUUUCUUUCUUUCUUUCUUUCUUUCUUUCUUUCUUUCUUUCUUUCUUUCUUUCUUUCUUUCAAUUGUCAUCAGGAUGUUUACUGGAUAUUUUCUUUAUUUACAUUUCAAAUGUUACUCCCUUUCCCAGUUUUCCCCCUGGGAACUCCCUAUUCUAUGUUCCCUUCCCCUGCUUCUAUGAGGGUAUUCUCCUACCCACUCCCACCUCCCUGCCCUCUAAUUCCCCUACACUGGGGCAUCGAGCUUCACAUGACCAAGGGCCUCUCCUUCCAUUGAUGCCCAAUAAAGCCAUCCUGUGUUGCAGUAUUUUCCCUAUCCAAUUACAUUAGGGAAGCAGGAGGCUUGUGAUUGAACAGGGAAAAGGGAGGCGGAGCUAAGAGUUACAGAGACAGAGAGUGUCUCAGAAAGAGAAAGGAGAAGAUGAGGAUGGAGAAGGAAGUGAACCUGUGUUCACUUCUCCUUUCUAGACUCUCUCUGUCUCUGCAACUCUUAGCUCCGCCUCCCUUUUCCCUGUCCAAUCACAAGCCUCCUGCUGCCCUAAUGUGACUGGACAGGGAAAAUCCUGCAACAAUCCUCUACUAUAUAUGUGGCUGGAGCCCUGGGUGCCUCCAUUUGUAGUUAAGAAAUAGUAUUCAUUUCAAUAUUACUACAUUGCUCUUUUUUUUAAAUUUUCAUUUAUUUAUUUACUUACAUCUUAAAUGCUGCCCUCACCUGGUCUCUCCUCACAGCAAUACUAACCCCAUUGCUCCUCCCCUCCCCUCUGAGACAUUGGGUCACCACUGGGUAUCCUCCCAUCCUCUCACUGUAAGUCUUUGCAGGAUUAGGCACAUCCUUUUCCACUGAGGACAGACAGGACAGCUCUGUAGGGGAAGGGAUGCCACAGUCAAGGUACAGCUUUAGGAAGAGCCUCUGCUCUAGCUGUUGGGAGGCCCACAUGGAGACUGAGCUGCAUGUCUGCUACAUAUGUUUUUUGGUUGGUGGCUCAGACUCUGAGGAGCUUCUAGUGGUCCAAGUUCAUUGACUCUGUUGGUAGUCCUGUGUCGUUCCCAUCCCCUUCAGGGCCUUCAGUCCUCCCAACACUUCCAUAAGAGUCUCAGACUUCCAACCAAUAUUUGACUGGGGGUAACUGCAUCUGUUUUUGUCAACAGCUGGUGAGAGCCUUUCAGAGGACAGUUAUGCUAGACUCCUGUCUGUAAGCAUAAAAAAAUAUCAAUUAUAGUGUCAGGAGUUGGUGCUUGCCCAUGGGAUGGGUUUCAAGUUCAGCCACUUAUUGAUUGGCCAUUCCCUCAGUCUCUGCUCCAUCUUUGUCUUGCAAUUAAUUUAGACAGGACAAAUUUUGGGUUGAAAGUUUUGAGGGUGGGUUGAUGUAUCCAUUCCUCCAUUGGGGGUCCUGCUUGGCUGCAGGAGGUGCCCUCUUCAGGUUCCAUGUUCCCACUGUGUCUCCUCCCUGGUUUUAGUGAGAUUGCUUCAUGUUUCUCUCCAUUUAAUUUGAUGUUGGCUGUUGGUUUGCUGUAUAUUGGUUUUUAUAUGUUUAGGUAAGUGCCCUGAAUCACUGAUCUCUCCCAAGACUUCUAACAUAAAGGGGUGUAGGAUUGUGGAAGGGUUUUUUUCUGCAUUCCAUAGGAUUAUGAUAUGAUUUUUUUCUUUCAAUUGGUUUAUAUAGAGGAUUGGUUUAUAUUAGGAUUAUAUUAGUGGAUUUGCUUAUAUGGAACCAGCCUUGAAUUCUUGGGGUGAGGCCUACUUGAUUGUGAUGAAUAAUGAUUUUGAUGUGUUCCUGGAUUCUGUCUGUGAUAAUUUUCUGGGUAUUUUUGUGUCAAUGUUUAUAAGUGAAAGCAGUCUGAACUUCUCUUUCUGUGUUGAAUCUUUGUGUAGUUUAGGGAUCAGGAUAAUCGUGGCCUCAUCAAAUGAAUUAGAUAGUGUUCCUUCUGUUUUUAUUUUUGUGGAAUACUCUGAGGAGUAUUGGUAUUAGCUCUUCUUUAAAAGUCUGGUAGAAUUUUGCACUAAAAUCACCUUGCCCAGGGCUUUUUUGGUUGGGAUAUUUUUAAUGACUGCCUCUAUUUCCUUAGGGGCUAUAGGACUGUUUGAACAGUUUUCCUGAUCUAGAUUUAACUUUGGUUAGUGGUAUCUGUCUAGAAAAUCAUCCAUUUUGUUUAGAUUUUCCAUUUUUGUGGCAUACAGGCUUUUGAAGUAUGACCUAAUGAAUUUUUAAAAUUUCCUUUCUGUUUUUAUGUAUCCCUUUUCAUCUUGAUUUUGUUAAUUUGGAUAAUGUCUUUCUGUUUUUCUUAAAAACCAGCUCCUGGCUUUGUUGACUCUUUUAUAGUUCUAUUUCUUUCUAAUUGAUUGUAGUGCUUACAUUUCCAUUGAAUUCUAGAAAGUAUUUAAUUUCUUUCUUUCUUUCUUCCCUGACCAAGUUAUCCCUGAGUAGAGAGUUGUUCAGUUUCAGUGAGUAUGUGGGUUUUCUGUUGUUAGUUUGUUGUUGAGAUCCAGCCUUAAUUCCUGGUGAUCUGAUAAAAUGCAUGUGAUUAUUUCAAACUUUUUCUUACUGUUGAGGCUUGCUUUGUGCCCUAUUAUAUGUCAAAUUUUGGAGAAAACUCCUGUGGUGCUAAGAAGAAAGUAUAGUUUUUUUUUGGGGGGGGAGGUCUAUAAAUAUUUGUUAAAUGCAUUUGGUUCAUAACACAUUAGCUCCAUUGUUUCUCUUCAAUGUGUGAUCUGAGCUUUAGUAAUGUUUCUUUUAUGAGUCUAGGUUUCCUUGCUUUUGGGGCAUAGAUGUUAAGAACUGAGUGGCCACCAGAUUGUUAAUUUCAUGUGUGAAUGCUUUUUGGUAUGAAUCAAAGUUAUAGCAUUUGCAAAGAUGUUGGGUGUUUAACUGGUGAGCAUUUCCAAUGAUGCUUGAUGUUUUAUUGGUGAAUGUUCCUGGGUAUGAAGUACAGUUUGAUGAUGUCCCACACAACUUAGGAACGAAGGAGCUGCACAGCCUACAGAUGGAUCUGAACCCUUUGGGUGUACAUGGUUGUGCCUGCCUCAUGUCUCCUUCCAAAUUUUUACCCAGAGCAUAGAUCCAACUAAGUCAUCUCUAUCCUUCCACUGCAAAUCUUCUAGAUCUGUACAUUAGCAUCCCCUGAGCUUUAUAUGGCACAGAUUUCCCUUCAGACAAACUUCAAGGAUUCUUGAAGGCGAGUUCAAAACUUCACUUAUAGAAUGUUUCUGGUCUCUCAACUGUUCUCUAACUUUCUCAAAGAAAUGAGAGUAUAACAAUAUUCUAGGGUUGUGAUGGAGAAAUGGACUUCAGAAAUGGCAAUAUUUGGGGGAUGAAGAGAUGGCUCAGUGGUUAACAGAAGUUCUCAGCACUCACAUCAAGAGUCUAUAACUCCACCUCCUGAGAAUCCAGUGCCUUCUGGCCUAUAUAGAGACCUACACUCAUGCUACAAUCCUUCCCCAUACAAACACAGAAAGAAAGAAAUGUAAAUCUUUAGAAAAUAGCAUUAUUUUAUAUAGUUCUGAAGAAAAUACCACUUUUGUUAUUGUAUUUUUUCUAAUGUAACUCUUGCUGAAUAUACAAAUCUUACUAAACUUGAAUAAUCUUUGAUAAAUUAUUGCAUAAGAAAAGCUGUAUCUGGGCUGGUAAGCUAGUUUGCUCAGUGGGUUAAGAGUGCUUGACAUGACACCUAACAACUUGAGUUCAAUCUUCUGAUUGCAUGACAUACAUGAGCUCACACUCAUACACCUACCAUAGAGCAAGCAAUCAUUUUUAUGUUUGACCUACUGUUAAUACCUGACUACACUUUUGUAAUGCAGUGUAUCUACACUGGCUUAGUUAGACAGGUUUCCUGGAAGUCUCACUGUAUGGACUGGGAUCUAGCUUGCAGAGCAGACUCAGUUAUGAUCUGUAAGUCAUCAUAGGCCAGACAUGGGGAACAGCAACUCCCUGGAGAAUUGCUACUUGAAAUCUUUUGAAAAUAAAAUGUAUUAAAUUUUCUUGCUAGUUUAGUAACACUCUCGCCCCUACUUAAAGAGCCAUUUAAGUAAUAAAAGUGCUGGAAGGGAAGGAAACAGGAAGUGUUUCACAGUAUGCAUACAUUAGAUCUAGCUCUGAAAAGCAAAGUAUCAGGGCCACAUCAGGCAACGCCUUCCCUCAUCAUGAGUCCCGAGAGUCCUCUUCUCUCUGCCAGUUUGCUAGCAGUUGCUGAUGAUGAUUCUGAUUUUUCUUCCUCUUUUUCCUCUUCCUCUCUCUCUUCUCCUUCUCUUCCUUCUCCUUCUAUUUCUUCUUUUCUUCUAUUUCUCUUCUUCUCUUCUAUUUCUCUUCCUCCUCAUCUUCCUCUUCUUCUUUCUUCCUUCUCCCUCCUCUGCCUCCUCCUUCUUUUAUUUUCCUUUUAGUUUCUUCCUAAAUUACAUAUUGGCUUCUCCAGAAAAUACAUGUUUAAACAAGCCAUGCACCCAUCUCAUUUCAUUUAAUUUUCUGGUCUCUCAGUCUCAUCACCUUGACUAGGACUGGGAAGUGAGGCAUCAGGAAAUUGUAUAAAACAAUGUGUAACAUAUUGGCUAGCUAUGGCUCAAAAUCCUAAAAUCCACUAUCAAUUUUUUUUUUUUUUUUGGUGGUGGUGGUGGGGAAAUCCCUUUCUAGAAAGAUCUGACCUACUUUCCUUGCUACUUUGGUUCCUGUAGCUCUGCUUUUGAAUGAAGGGCUUAUUUGUAGGUGCUGCAUGUUAUUAGCAGGAAUUCAGACAUGAGCAAUCAAGGCAUACAGGCCACCACUAAGAAACAGAAAACAGCAAACAAUCAAUAAAUCUUCCUUGUUUUUGCUUUCAACUAUGAGUAGUUCUCAAAAUAAAUAAAUAAAUAAAAAGAAUUUCUUCUAAGAUCCUAGUGAGAACACAUGACAUCAACAUGGUCGCCAUCAUGGUGGGGCAUCUAAGCAUGACCCUCUCCUUUCAUGUUGUCACACUUUCUUGACUUCUGGAUGAUAUCUCUAUGACAAUUACUUUCAGAAAUGUCCUUAUCACUCUCAUAGCUUUUGGCAAAGAGCACAGCUCGAAGGCAGAGUUUUUAGACAUAAACAUUAUUUAAUCUACUCCCAUUUGACUGGCUACUAUAUCCAAGAUCAACAUUAAAUUUCAAACUCUCUAUAAAUAUAGCAAACAGUUCAAGAUUCAUCCACAUUCCUUCAACUGAAACUUUGGUCACCAAAAUCUCUCAUGAUUUUUUUGUGGAAAAAACACUCUUCUAUCAAUAUGGAGGUAGGGGUGAUUCUCUCUUGAAGACUUAAGAGUCUUUAGGGUCAAUGAGAUCUUGGUGUGAAAAUCUACUCUGUGAUACUGUGGGAUGAGAAUUUCAGAUGGAGUUCUUCAAAGGAUGGUAGGGAAAAAAAUUAACAGGUGAGCAGUAAUAUUCAUGUUGAAUUUUAUUCAAAUAUGGGGGAGGAAAAAAAAUCAUGGGUAAAUGAAAGGACUAUCAGGCAGUUUAAAACGUGAGCCAAGCGUAGUCCAUAUAGUGUUGUAUACUGAGGACAUAAGAAAGUUACUGGCCAGAAUGAGAGAAAGCAGACAAUCAUUUCAGGGCACUCUUUACCAUAAGGAUACAGAGAAAAUCAUUUUAAGUUAACUCAUGUAACAUCUAUAAUGAAGUUUCAUCUAAAGAAUUUGCUAGAAAAGUCACACCCCUUUUUAAGAAUGUAAAUCAGGACAAUAGCCAUAAAUGUGUGCAGGGGAAGUCUUGUGGGUGUCAUCAUUCCCCUUAUAAUAUUAUUAGGAUGAAGCAGAACUGUAACUGUGGUUUCUGGGAAAUCAACUCACAGGAAAAUUAAGGAGGCUAAUGUUGAAUCUAGAUGUCAGCUAUUUGUGAAGGAUUCUAAAAAUGACGCUUGAGUAUAAGGAUUACACAAAAGAGUGAUGGUUGAUUUUCCGGGUCAAGUCUAGCGAAAGUCUCAUGGAGCCACAUUUUUUUUUCCUUAUUCUUAGAUAUCCCCAAAGAGCUUUGUGAAUUCACAGUUAACUAUAGGGUAGUUUCAGCCUUGUUUUGAGGGCCCCAGGCUUCAUUUUCUACAACAUGUGCUCUGAGGGCAAAGGGUGCUUACUUGUUUUGCUCACCACCAUAGCUAAUGCCAAGAACAAAAACUAGCACAAAUGGUCAGAAACUGUUUGUAAAAUGAAUAGAUUUAUCUUUUAUCUCUCCAGAUGGCCCAGGUCUGUACUUGGUGUAUAACAUUUCCUUGGUAAACAUUUGUUGGGACAAACACCCAAUAAAGAGUUGUUUGGCUCAAAAAACACAGAGUGCUGUACUUUAUAAAUUUGAUUAUAGGUCAUGAAGCAAACCUUUUCUAAAGUAGAUCGCUGACCUUUUAAAAUUAUAUAAUAAAGACACCUAUGCUUAUGCAGGGCCCCUUUUUUCUUCCCUAAUGAACUCUGUACCUUAACUGUUGCCAGCCCCAACUUAUAAAUUUUAAGCUGAAAAAAAAAAAUCCUUCCAAAAUGAAAUCCAUUUGUCUUAGAAGUGGGGAUACGAACAUUCAAAGAGUCACAAUGCAUUGAAACUCUGUUUCUGUGCUUUUCAAGUCAGCCAGUGGUCUCCAGAGCAUUUAUUUUUCGGGUGCAGACAGUGGAAACCACAGACGUAAACAUGGACUGGAAAUAGCAGGAUCUGAACACAUUGUAGAGUGUUGUUUACAAUGUGCAUGAAACAGAAUGCCAUGCUUUUCUUGUCUCCAAAGAUAUGAACAAUUUGUGCCUAGAGUCUGUAUGCAUUAUUUUAUAACCAAGUGAAUCAAUGCAAUGCAGAGAUGGAUAAAAAUAUCUGUUGGCCCACACACAUGAAAUAAAAAUCCAAAAUGUCAAAAUAUGAUGAAUUCUAUGGGUGCUAUUGCUAGUAUUACUUUGGGAAGAUACUCAUCACUGAUUUUUCUCAUUUACUCUACACAUACUGGUUGUGUACUUUUUAAUUAUUUGUAUUCUGUCCCAUAUUUUCAAGUUCCUUGGAAAGAGCUAAGUUAUAUGCAUCUUAAAUUAUAGAAAACACAAUAGUAUAGCAACAUUCAUGCAUGACUAAGGAGGAAUUUGUGCUUUAGUAUUGUAUUUGUAAUUGAUACAUUUAUAAAUAUACGGAUUUUUCUUAAGUGUAACCUAUCAAAAAAUUGAAAUGUGAUAAAAAUUUCAUUCUUUUAAAGUUUUAUUUUUAUUGUAGCCCAGGCUAGCCUGGAACAGCAAUCCAGGCUGACCUUGAAUUCAUGGAAAACUUGCCAGCAGCUUUGGCCUCCCAAGUCAUGAGUAUAUAAGCACAACCCAUACAUGGAUAAAAUGUAGGAAAAUUCUCUCUCUCUCUCUCUCUCUCUCUCUCUCUCUCCUCACAUGUACUUGUAAGUCUGUUUAUAACUUUUCCCAUUAGCUUUGGUAAUAAAAGUAAAUCUGAUAUUUAAAAGUCACACGAAACCAAAGAUGAUGAUAUAGGUAGUUAAGAGCUGAGUGUUGAAGACUGAACCUACAGUUAGUCACCAAACACUCAACUUAUGAGCAGAGAAGAAAGUAUAACCCAAGAAGCCAAAUAAUAGGUGGGUAGAAUAAAGGAAGACCACACUGCACAAAUGAUGUCCCAAAAGCCAUGAGGAAAAAGAUA
ensembl:processed_transcript Gm4117 predicted gene 4117